GUCCUUCAACUUUAGAAAACUCUGGUUUUAGUCCUUUUUACCAAAUUUUUUUAACUUUAUUUUUUUGUUUCAAGCACGUUUCAUUGUAGCAUUUGAAUUGUUUAUACUGUUUGACAUAUUUUUGCUUCAAUGUUAACUGAGAAACACCUUUGAAAUAACAAAUAUAAAGUUAAAAAAAAAUUAAUAAAAAAGACUAAAAACGAAAUUUUCUAAAGGUGAAGGAUUAAAUUGUAUUAUAAUUUAAAAGAGGGACUAAAACCAAAAUCGCUGGUAAAGAAUAAAAACAUAUAUUUAACCCUUAUAAAUGUAUAAAUAUAAGUGCAAGAACACGAGUUAGAUGAAAGUUAUCGUGUCGUGAGAAAGUUUUCACUAUCUCCGCGUUUCAAUUAAUUCACGUUGCAGAGGUUUAAAUUGGCAGCGCCGACAUACCACUCCAAUUUCUUUCUUCGUUCACCAAAGCCACAACACAGUUUUGCUUUCGCUGAAUUUUCGUUACAGAAUGGGGAGGAGUAGCGGAAGAGACCGAAGACGAAGAAGAUCCGAUGAGUCGGAAUCCGAGUCACCGUCCGAUUCCGACUCGGACCGACGCCAUCGUAGCAGUAGCCGCAGGUCUAGGCGUGACUCAGACGGAGAUAGGAAGAAGAAGAAGAAAUCCUCGAUGAACAUUACAGAAGAGGAAAUCGCGCAGUACAUGACCAAAAGGGCCCAAUCGAAGGUCUUCAUCUAGUUUCCCUAUGCCCUUCUUGUCCCUUCACCGUUAGAAUUCGCAUAUUGAAUGACUUUCCAUUGUUUCAGGCUAUGAAAGUGGCAAAAAAGUUGAAAACCAGUACGGUGUCAGGCUAUUCCAACGAUUCGAAUCCGUUCGGUGACUCCAAUCUCAAUGAGAAGUAAGUUGCUGCCAAUUUGACUUUGUUCUUCGUAUCUGGUGGUUAAAUUAAACUUAUUUUUGCGUCACAAUACAUAAAUCUUGAGAUAAGUUGUGGUCGCUUUUAUAGAUUGUAAACCUACACAAAUGUUAUGUGUAGGUUUGUUUGGCGCAAGAAGAUUGAACGCGACGUUUCUCAAGGUGUGUCUAUUGAUACGUUUUCUGUUAAGGCCGAGAAAAAAAGACAGAUAGAAAGGAUGGUAUGUACUUGAAUCCAUGAAUUUUGUUUGGGUAAAAUGUGAUAUAGGUUCUCAAUUUUACCUUAAAAUUGAUUUUAGAUAUACUUUAUAAUCGAUAGAUUUUCUUCAUUGCAUAUUUUUGUAAUUCGCUGAAAGUUAAAGGGAUCUAUAACACAAUUUUCCCUUUUUAUUUUAACCGGCAUGAUACGGGAUAUAUGUUGCAUGGUCAUUAUUUGUUUCUACCUCUGCAACAUUUCCUAUACACUUGAUUUAAAAGCUUUAAAGCGAUAAUUAUAUAUCGGUAUCUUGAUACCAAUUUGGUUCCUGGACCAUGUAUGCAAAUGAUCUCAUAUAUAUACUUUUCCCCUUCAAUUUAGUUACCUCAUUGGGGAUGAAUGGGAAUCUGGUUUGCUUUCGUUAUAUUAAAAUAGGGUUUAUGGAAAAGGUCUAUGCAUGAGCUUGGUUUGGGUGCAAUGUCAAGGUUUUUGGGGUCUCUACCACUUUAAAUCUCAGAUAGAGAUUGCUGGUGGGCUUUCCUAAAAAUCAUAAAAUUACUAAUAUUAAUGACAUUUAUAAUUCAUAAGUAACAAUAAAAACUCAUAGAUGUCUUAAAGCAUACAAGUAAAUACCAACAAAAGUCUAAUGCAAUCUUCCUAUACAGGAAUCAUCAAUCAUCACCUUCAAAAUCCAGGCCUUUAUUAUUUUACUGCCACUGCAGCUGUAGAUCAUUUUUGGAAUUUCAAAUCCCAAACUUAGGUCCCCAAAAAGGCCCAAUGUAUCUGCGCAAAGCGAUUUCUUAGGAUCAACAUGUAGCGUCACUAUUAGGAAAUCAAUCAUAUGCCGAAAUUCUUGGAAUAAAAUAUUAUAACUGUUCAUAUAAGAUUAGUUGAUUUAUGAGGGUUCUAUUGUAGAUUAUAGGAACAUAAUAGCAUAAUUAUAGAUAUUAUCAAAAAUAUAAAAUUUUUAUUUUUUUAUUUUCGUUUUCCUUUUAUUUCCUUUCUUUACAUGUUAUAAAGGGUGACAACGAUCUUCUGCUCAACCAUUCCUCUCCCUUCUUUUUUUUUUCUAUCCUUGUUUCCAUGGCUAAUGAUGCAAAUAAACCAGAUUCCAACAAUUCUUAUUCUCUCCAUCACUCUGACCAUCAUGGAAUGAUUCUUGUUGUCCGCACCUGUUUUUUCACUCCAUACACCUUGAGUGUCUAUAUGGUAAAAUUCUUUCUUAUUCAUACAAUAGAGUUUUUUUAUGUCUUGCUUAUGCUACUAAUGUUCAUGUUUCUCAUUAGUUUUCUCCACGUACCCAAAGAUGUGUUUUUCUUGGUUAUCCUCUUCUAGUUCAGACAACUCACAAAUUAUAUGAUCCUGAAACUCAUCAAAUCAUAAUUGGUUAUGAUGUUUUCCAUGUGGAUAUUUUUCUCUAUGAAUCCAUUGACACUUCCCCAACCACCAUAGACCUUGUCAUACUUAAUAUUAUUCCUAAUAAUCUUACUUGGGAGACUCUUUCAUGCACUCAACCAACACCUACAAAACUCAUCCCUGUCACUUCUAUUGCUCUGCUUUCUCAUGUGUUGUUCCAGCUGUCUCAUGUUCAACCUGCAACUUUAGGUGAUUAUAUUUAGAUAACAUUUUUUGACCCAAUGUCAUCUUAAUCAUAUUUUCCAAACAAACAAAGGUACACAUAAUCUUUGCAAUUUUAUAUCUUAUGAUUGUUAAUUUGUUACACCCCUCAACAUCGGUCUUUUAUUGCCACUAUUACUAAUGAUAUUAAACCUACAUGUUAUGCUUAAGCUGCUUCUCAGACUCAUUGAUAAGAUGUCAUUGAGGCAAUGUCAUCUGUGUUGGCUGCUUUGGAGGCCGAUAAUGCUUGGUCUCGAACAUCUCUUACUACUGAAAAGUAGGCUAUUGGUUGUCAUUGGGUUGGGUGUAUACAAUCAAGCACAAAUCCUAUGGUUCUCUUGAACGGUAUAAGGUGCCCCUAGUUGCAAAGGGAUAUAUACAACUGGAAGGAAUUCCGUAUCAUGACACCUUUUCACCCAUUGCUAAAAUGGUUACAGUAUGCUGCUUAUUAGCUUUGGCAGCUGCUCAACAUUGAUUCUUCAUCAACUUGAUAUCCAUAAUGCUUUUAUUCAUGGUGAUCUUUCUGAAGAAAUCUAUGCAUCUCUUCCUCCUGGUUUUCAUCAAUAGGGGAGAAUAUUAUGCGUUGUCUCAGCAAGUCCUUAAAACCCUGGUCUUUGAGAUUGAAGUUGUGUUCACAAUUGCAUUUGUCCUCAAUUUCCUACAAAAUCAAGGAAUUUGACAACCAUGACUACAACUGCAACUUAAAAAUUUGUACUAAAUCUAUAGCUGGGAAUGGGUUCAAUGGAUUGAACUAGUCCAAUAAUAGUAGAUAUAGUUUUGAAUUAAAUUGUAUUGUGGUGACCCUUUGCGGCUUUGUUCUUUGCUUUCCCAAAUUUGUUGGUCCUUUUUUUGGUCAUUGAUGGCCUAACAGCUAAACGUUCUCACUUCUAUGAUAACAAUAUUGCAGGCAGAAAUUGAAAAAGUGAAAAAGAGAAGAGAGGAAAGGGCACUCGAGAAAGCUCGGCACGAGGAAGAAAUGGUAUGUCCUUUCUCAUAAUUUGUUAUUAGUCCAUAAUUAUUGUGUAGUGUUAACCUAUUAUUAGUUUUGGGCUUGUACUAGUUCUAUGGUACUUCAUUUUACACUUUACAUAAAUAUAAAGUUAUAUAUAAGUAUUACAUCAGCCUCUGGGAUCUCACGCAAUUAUAUUGUCUCCUUUCUAACUAUUUUGUUGAAUUUCAACAUUUGCCAUUUUUAUCAUGGCACUGUAUUUUUGUGUGGUCAUAUUCUAAUAUGAAACACCAAUCAUGUCCUUGCCAAUUAUGUCCUGUCCUUGUUUUUUGAUUUGUUUUUGGGGUUGGGGCACAAUGCUGUAUGGCUUUUCACUUGGCCCAAAUAUAGAAAUUUUCGAGUCAAGCCUAGGCUUGAUUUGUAGACUGUUGAUGGAGCAUAAACUAUGUUAUAUCAUCCUGAUUUAACAGAUUCUUUCUCCCAGGCACUGUUAGCUAGAGAACGUGCUCGAGCUGAGUUUCAGGACUGGGAAAAAAAAGAAGAAGAGGUACUGUAUCUUUAGUUGUUUUUAUUUAUUUGUUGUUAUUUUAUAUAAUAUUGUCAGUUUUAUUGACUUGGAUAAUUUAAUCUGCAGUUCCAUUUUGAUCAAAGCAAAGUUAGGUCAGAAAUUAGAUUGCGUGAAGGGCGUGCCAGACCAAUUGAUGUCCUAACCAAGCAUCUCAACGGCUCUGAUGAUUUGGAUAUAGAAAUAAAUGAACCAUAUAUGGUCUUCAAGGUUAUUUUAGAGUUUUUCUUUUCAUUUUAUUUGUCCUCACUGUUCUAAUGUUAUAUGGUAUGACUAAGGAUAUCCAGAUAAUAUUAUUGGACAAGCCACAUAAUGAUUUGAUAUAUGGUGCAGGGUUUGACUGUAAACGAAAUGAACGAGCUACGUGAUGACAUCAAAAUGCAUCUGGACCUUGACAGGGCAACACCAACUCAUGUAGAAUAUUGGGAGGUAUCACCCUGUUUCAUUUCCAUGGUUCAUUAUGGGAUACUUAAUUUAUGGGUUCUACCUUAUCUAUAUUAUGGCAACAACAAAUUGAGGAUACUAUUUAAACAAAAUUUGAGGUGCUUUGGAGCCCAAAUGACUUGUUGACUUUCAUGACCUUUUCCUGUUUCAGUUAAUUUGUAUGACUAGUAUGGUUGGUAUUGUGUUUAAAGUUCAAAGCACAUUGUUUAAUGUCGUCUUCAUGUAGGCACUCCUUCUGGUGUGUGAUUGGGAGCUAGCAGAAGUGCGAAAAAAGGAUGCGUUUGACCGAGCUAGAGUGCGAGGAGAAGAACCUCCUGCUGAGCUGCUUGCAGAAGAAAGGGGAUUGCAUUCCAGUGUUGAGCCAGAUGUAAAGAGGCUUUUGCAAGGAAAGACACGUGCAGAAUUGGAGGCUUUACAAGUUCACAUUGAAUCAGAAAUGCGUUCUGGUACAGCAAAGGUGGUUGAAUACUGGGAGGCCAUUUUAAAACAUCUCCACAUUUAUAAAGCCAAGGUAUUUCUCGUCACAUUAAUUUCCAAUUCUUUUCCAUGGCUUUAGGCAAUGGUUGGUUUUGACUAUUAUUAAAUUACUCCAAGUACAGGCUUGUUUGAAGGAAAUUCAUGCUAAAUUGCUACGUAAGCAUUUGCAAUCUCUCGAGAGACCAUUGGAGGAUGAAGAUAAAUUGGAGGAUGCUAAUGUUAUGAUACCUGACGAGGAGGAAGAUACAGAGGAUGAUAUUAAAGGUAAAAGAUUUUGUCUGUUAUGACAUUUAGUUGUACAUGAAAAAACUGUUAUUUCCAAUCAUCUCAAUUUUCAUACUGAAAUUUGUUGUUCCUUUUUCUUGCUAGUCCGAUCUCUAGAUGAAUCAUUUUCACCAGAACCCAUUAGAGGGGAACAAGAAGAUGAAGACGAGGCUGGAUCAUUUUCGCCACAACUGUUGCAUGGUGAUGAAAGUGAGGAAGCUAUUGACCCUGAAGAGGAUAGAGCCAUGCUGGUAAUAUUUCUAACCAUAAUUUUUAAUGGUGAUCUCCUACUUAAUUUAGAUAUUUUAUAACCCUGUACACUUAUAGGAGCGGAACCGCAAGGCUGUCUUAGAAGAACAGCAAAGACGAGUUCAGGAAGCAAUGAUAUCAAAGCCAGCUCCUUCUGAAGAUAAUUUUGAGAUGAAGGCUUUAAAAGCUAUGGGGGAUAUGGAAGAUGGAGAUGCGGUGUUUGGAUCUGGUGCUGAAGUGAGCCUGGAUUCCCAGGUAUAGUAUCUUGGCCUUCUAUGACAUGACAAUUACGGAAUGUCACAUGACAUUAACUUGCCCUUUGCUAUGAUUCUUUGAAUUUUUCAUCGGUAGAAAAAUAUGUAGUUAUUAUUAGAUAGGAUGCAACAUUCUGCAGCUCAUUUUUAAAAGGUAGACCAGUUUGUUUUUGUAUUAAAAGCUAUCUUUUCCUUUUUUUUCUCUAUAAAUUCCUUAGUUUUCUUUAGAGCUUUUCUCCAAAUGUAUUUUCCCCAACUUCUAUCAUUUAGAGUAGAAGAAAAGCUAUGGAAAAGUUAGGUGAAACACUACCUAAAGAGUGUGUUAUCAUGUAGUUAGUACACUCCCUGUGGUAUAGUUUCGUAUUUUUUAAUGAGAAAUCGAAAACUUGUUGUUUUUUCUCCUUUAAAUUUCCUAAUGGUCUGAAAAAUGUUGGAGCAGGUUUAUUGGUGGCAUGACAAAUACAGGCCUAGGAAGCCGAAGUAUUUCAACCGUGUUCACACUGGAUACGAGUGGAACAAAUAUAAUCAGACUCACUAUGAUCAUGACAACCCACCUCCAAAGAUUGUGCAAGGAUACAAAUUUAAUAUUUUCUAUCCUGAUCUUGUAGACAAGACAAAAGCCCCAACUUACACCAUUGAGAAGGAUGGCAGCAAUGGGGAGACUUGCAUUAUAAGAUUCCAUGCUGGGCCACCGUACGAAGACAUAGUAAGUCUAUUAUCCUUUGUGUUAUGAAGGAUAUUCAGUUUUUAAUCAAUUUACUUAUUUUAUUAUGUUUUCCAUCAGGCUUUCCGCAUCGUAAACAAAGAAUGGGAAUAUUCUCACAAGAAGGGUUUUAAGUGCACAUUUGAACGUGGAAUUCUGCACGUGUACUUUAAUUUCAAACGCCACCGCUACCGCAGAUAAUUUCGCUCAAGGCAAUGGUUUACUUUAUGUAAAGUUUUUCCUACUAGAAGGGCUACGUGUCUGCUGCCAUUUUUAAUCGUGAAAUUUGUGCCAUGGUGCUGGCAGUAGAUAUAAAUGGCCAGGAAGUUUACUACUGAGAUUGAGACCAGGAAGAAAUUCAAAGGUACUAUUAGAGUAAGUAAUACCCGCACCGGUUAAAGUCUGAUCCAAAUCUUAUCAUGAUAUUCUAGACUUGAUUUAAGGAAAUAGUACGGUUAUUCCAUUGCUAUAACUAAAUCGAGACCAAGGGUCUUUCCAAACGCUGAGAUACUAAUUACAUGUCUUAUUUUUUUAUUUUGGUGCACACAUUGUUCUCUGAAUCCUGUCUGAUUUAACUAGGUUUUCCUCAUCAUUGUAGAAAAUCACAUUGUCCAACUGUUUUUGUAGAAAAAGUUUAUAUUGUACCUUGAAAAUGGUUGUAAUCUCAUGAGGUGAAAGAAUUUGUACAAUUUGAUUUUCAUUAUAACCCUUCUUGCAUUUUGUUUAUAAUAUGCUCCUUGUUUUAGAAGGUGCCAGAUUUUCGGCUCAUGUGAUUGCUGAUUUUGCAUUAAAAAAAUUACACUAGGGAACCAUUGAAUGAGAGCAUGUUGAACUGGUAAAAGCUCAAGAAAUAAGAAUUUAGGUAGCCUUAAAAGAGUAGCGUGUUUGAUUUAAGUCAAUUCCAAUCUCACCCUCACUGGUUAUUUGUUGUACGUGAUCAAACAGAUUCAGACUAAUAGGUUUCUAUCGGUGAGUAGUGUUAUUUGAUGUUAAACUUUUCAAAUGUAUUGAUUUUUCACAUAUCCCCCAUCCGCGUAUUUGACAAAAUAAUGGGCGUACAUAUUCACACUAUUGUGUGUUUUUUUAUGUGGCAGUGUCAUGCUGUUACGGUUACAAGCGUAUCUUACAUUACUCUCUUAAUUAAUUGUUUGUCAGUAUAAGUUCUGGUUUUUUAUCAUAGGAAUUCUACUCUACAAUCAACGUAAGAAACAUUAUGGAUUCUUAUUUUAACCAGCGCUUCGAUUUUAAGUCUUAUAAUAUAAACGGAGUCAAAAAACAAAUAUUAUUCAACUUAACACGAGAUGUUUUGUUUUUGUUAAUUAGGUCAACAUAAUAACAAUAAACUGAAAGAAAGUUGAAUGAAUAAGGAUAUUGAAAGCAAUGGUGCCAUACUUUAAUAUUGAUGUUGAAUAAGGAUCAUAGACAGCAACCUUUAACAAUCAUUGAAGUUGUUGAAGAAUCAUUGACCACAACUUUUCAUAGUUGUUGAAGAAUCUAACACCAUAGCCUUAAGUGCUGGGAAUUAGAAUAAAGGCUGAACCAGGAAUGACACAACUGACCAUGGAAUUCCCCAGCUAAGCAAAACAUAUGGAAAAAAUAAAAUAAAAUGUUAAAAGGAUAAUCCUCAACAAAAUAUACAAAUACUUUCUUCAACACUUCUAUUUUUUAAAUACUGUUUUGUGGAGUAAAUAGUCUUUUUGAACAUGGAAAUAAAAGGCCGUGUAAGAUUAAUCUAUAAAACUAAUAAAAUGUUAUAAUUACGUAUAUGAAAUAUUAAACAAGUUUUAAACUUAAUCUGUUAUUUUUUUAAUUACAUGAAAGGUUAUUAUUUAAUUACAUUUUAUGUUUAUUUUUUACUAAUUAGUACACUUUCAACCCCCCCCCCCCCUUUUUGUAGUUUUAUGGACUACUUUAACUAUGUUUUUUUAAUUUUAAGGAAUAAAAGAACUCUUUAAACAUAAUUCUAUUUUGUAUUAUUUUCCAUAAAUUAAAACAAAAAUGAAAGAGAACAACUGUUUUGGUCGACUGAAAGAAAUGAAAUUGAUUUAAUAAAAUGUCAUUAUUUAUUAUUAUUUGAUUUCUUUGAGAAAAUUGAAAUAAAAAGACAUAUGGCAUAACAUUUACGACGUGUUUUCUAUUAUUUUAUUCGAGAUUAGCAUAAACAACAUUCAUCGAUUUCCUUAUCAAUUCACCUAACCAUUGUUUAAACAUCAAUAAGUGUACGGUAGCUUUAUUUUAUUUCAUUAAACCCAUCAUUAAAAUAUAUAUGAACACGUAUAGUAAUGUUUGAAUUCGUUAAAAACUGAAAUAAAAUGCCAUUAAUCUCAUUAUUUAAAUUGUUUAAAAAUUAGAUAACCUCAUGCAUAAUAUUAUUAUUAUUAUUAUUAUUUUAUUUCAUUUUUAUCCUAUAUAUUUUUUUUCUUUUAGUGUAAAAUAUAACAAUAAUUUACAUCUCUUCACAAAAUUUACGUUUUGUUUGAAUUAAACGAUGCAAAAUGAAAUUAUAUAAAAUAAAUAGAGUAAGAGAAUAACAAAAUAAGUAAAAAACUAUUUAAAUUAAAAAAACGAAAAAAAAUAUUUCUACCAUAAUAUUAUUUUAAUUAUUUUUAUAUUUAUAUUUUAUGAUUUUUAUUAUUUUAUAAAUAUUUGAAAAUUAAAAAGCAACAUAACUAACUAAUUAUGAUUAUAUUAUAUAUCGAUUAAGGUAUCAACAUGCAAAUUUAAUAGAUUAUAUUGAGUUUUUGUGUUUUUCUUUUUUCUUUUUCGAAGUUGAAUUUGCAUAAUAUUUUGCAGUUUCUACAUUGGUGACUGAAACGACACCCAUGUGCAUAUUUUAAUCUGUUUUAAUAUUGUAACAUAGGUGUUUAGGCAAUAAUUAUCAAAAUUUGGAUAGAGAAAAUAUAAAUAAACUGUGUUAAUCAUUAGAUGUGCUAGACAUACAUAGAAAAUAUUACUAUCUGCAUGCAUGCUUCCUUAGUUUGUCUGCACGUGUCUUUCUGUACUAGACAUCAGUUUAUGGUCACGCUUAAGUAAUAAUUCAAUUUACAAUUUUCGUUUUCUUUUCAACUUUCCAAUAUAAAAGGUUUUUUCUUUUCUCAAAGUUGAAAUGAUUUAGGUUAAAGUUAGUGGCAUGCAACUGGAGGACCCAAAUUAAGAAAUAUCAUUUUAAAAGAGUAAUUUUUGUUCUCUUGAUGAAAGUUUACUCCAAAAGAUUUAUAUAAUGAAAUGGGAUUAUUCACAUAAAAAACAGGUUUAAUGCUUAAUGAUAUGGGUUUGGUUGUUAAUGGAUAUAUAGAAGAAUAGCGUAGUGGUGGCUGCGCGUGGACCUAGGAUGUGGAAUUUGCAUAAUUACUUGGCUACUACGAAUCUAGUGUUGCCAUUACCAAGACCUGCUAAAUUUUUUGUGAUGAUUACUUUCCCAUAUUGCAAGGAAGAAGAAGUCUGUAAAGUUUGGAGAAUAAUGCAAAAUCAAACAUAAGAGGAACUAAUCACAUUGCUUUUGACUUAUCCCACUUAAAAGUGCUUUUUAAUUUUUCCCAGUUCUUCCCAACCCAAUCAAAUCCUUUGGAAUCACUUUACUUCCUUUCUCAGUGGGCUAAUCACUAUCAUUGCCACUACCUUCUUUUUCUAUCAAUACAGAUACUAAUAAUAAUUAAAUACUAUAUAUCUACUACACACUUCAUUUAUAAUCAAACACAAACCACACGUGUACCUACUAUUUCACUCUCCUUCUUCAAUCCUAAUUAUGCAUAGUAGCUUUUGAACAAUAUCCUUCAUACUUGGCCUUUCAGCUUUCUUCUCUCUCAGACAUUCAAGUGCAAGCUCCAAGAACACUUUUAUGCUUGUCAACAUUUUAUCUCCCGAGCUCUCUAUCGAAAGAAGCCUUUGAUCCACCAAUUCCAUGAUUGUACCAUUGCUCGCACGUUGGUUCACAUGAAUUGCCAGGUUCACAUCAUCUUCAUCACGACUGAAGUCAAUCGCUUUUUGUGAAGUCAAAAGCUCUAGCAACACAACCCCAUAACUAUAAACAUCACUUUUAUCUGUUAACUGAUAGUUGCGGUAGUAUUCAGGAUCCAAGUACCCCAACGUUCCCUGAGCACAUGUUGAAACGUGACUUAGUCCUGGGCUAGCCAAUCUGGAGAGUCCAAAAUCUGAUACCUUGGCAUUGAAAUCAUCAUCCAAUAGUAUGUUUGUUGACUUAACAUCUCUGUGGUAGAUUGGAGUGUGUGCAGCCGAAUGCAGGUAGGCCAAUGCCUCUGCAGUUUGAAAAGCAACCUUGAGCCUCGUUUUCCAGUUUAGAAAGUUGGAACAAUACUUGCCAUGAAGAUGGUCGUAGAGUGUCCCGUUUGAGAUAUAGUCGUAGAUCAUAAAUGGUAGCUCAGAUUCCACACAGCACCCCAAGAGCCUGACCAAGUUCUUGUGAUUGACUUGAGAGAGUAUUGCAACCUCAUUAAGCACUUGUUGGGUGCUUUUCAGGUUUCCCACUCUAGCUUUCUUCACUGCCACUAAUGUUCCAUCUUGUAGCUCACCUUUGUAAACUUCCCCAAAGCCACCACUUCCCAAGAACCUCUGUUGGGAAAAACCAUUUGUUGCUUUCUUCACCUCUUUCAAUUGAAACAUCCUACAAGGCUUAUCCCCAGCACUUGAUUUCAGUUUGUCUUCUCUUUCCUUCGCUUUAUUAUCUCUAUAGGUUGAGAUUUUGCGGGACUUUGAGAUGAUGGUCAGAACCACAACGAGAGAGAAAAAGGUAACAACAGCCCCUAUUGAAACCACCAAGCUGGUUUUCCAUUUGGGUUUUCUCUCAUACUUCACACUCACACACGUUGUGACAAAAGGGUCCCAACGGUGUCCCCCAUUACAAAGACAGCGAAAUAAACCACUUCUACCAGAAGGGGAACACGUAGAGUCUCCAGAGCAAUCCUUUUGUGUCUUGCACACUGGUUCAGGUGGAAGAGCCCAUUGAAUUUCAAGCCCUUCCUCCCACUGAUUAGGAGGCUUGUCCUGGUUCAAAUGAAGGAUGCUUCUGAAUGCUUUGCAGCCAGACUCAUGAAGCCUGAUCCUGUAAGCUGAAGGUAUCCCACCGGCUAGAAAAGUGCAGCAAGGGUGAAGACCGCUUGCACAAUCAAGCGCUCGUUUUGUGUCAACAUGACCUGAACUCUCUAAGUAACGAUGGCAAACACUAGAAUAAGUGCAGUUGAGAGGAGAAACCAAGAGGCGUGGGGAGCAAUUAAGGAGGAACACUGUAUUGGAUGAAGUUAUAUUGAAAGGAAGUGACUGGUUCAACCAUAUACCGUUGCUUCUGGGCAUGUCUUGUGUAACACAGGAACCUGCUAACCAAGGUGAUGGCUCCACCACCAUGCGUUGGAUUGAAGGCAUGAUUCGGAGAAGGAGAUAGGAACUUCCAUUGAGGGUGUCGAAGUAAAGCUUUUGAGAGUGGGAAUCACAACGAAGCUUGUAGUAUGGAUCACCACAACUUGGAUGUGUGCUCAAAGGAUAUGGAACUUGCAUAGAGCCACAGUUUGGGCAAGUGUUCUGUGAAGCAGUGUGAUGGAGAAGGAGAAUGAAAAGAAAUAGAAAGGUAUAAGAAUAGCAACAAUGGAAGCAGGGUCUCAUGUUGCAUGGGGAAUUAUUAGGGAAGAAACAUCUUAUGAACUGAAAGAUACACGAUCAAUAAAUAUAAAGGGUGCACCCAGUUACUGCAGAAAAAAGUGGCUGCAAGAAUCUACCACAACGAAUACUAUUCUAGCCCAUCCUACACCUUAGGUCCACCUUCGCCAACUGUAUAAUUCUCGGAAGCUCAUAUUUAAACAAAUAUUUUUAACAAUUUUUUUAGAACACAACACUCUCACCAUUUUAUUAGUAUGUUUGAAUUUAUUUUAAAAAAAAUAUUUGAAAUGGAUUAAUUAUAAACUCUCACGUAUGCAUUGUCAAAAAAGAAUUGUUAAAAAAAUUGUUUCCAUGAUUCUUGGAUCGUGAUAUUUUGAAAACUAUUAAAAGAAAUUUUUUCAUAAAAAAAAAAUUCUUUUAACAAUAAUUUUUUAAUAACUUUUUGAUAAUACAGUUAUGAUUAGUUCAUUUUAAACAUUUUUAAAACAUAAAUUCAAAUAGACUAAUAAAAUGAUAACAUAUAGUUUGUCAUAAUAUCAUCAUCUUUUUCAUAAUUCUCAAGCAUAUUUUUAUAAUAUCAUCAUCUUUUUCAUAAUUCUCAAGCAUAUUUAUAUGGAGAGUUAAUUUUUCUUUUACCUAAAUGGACAUGCCAUGUUACGUAUGGACAAAUUUUAAAAAUAUUAAUAGGCAAGUUGUGGAAUCCCGUGUAUAUCUUCAAGACGCCUUCAAGUCUAACAAAUGGAAAAGUUGAAGUUGUGCAUACAGCUUCAAUUACAUGACUACAACUUAUAAUUGAUUACAUCUUCGGUGUAAUCAAUUACCAAGCAUUUAAUGGUAAAACACUAUUUUAAUUGAUUACAGAUAUUAGUAAUCGAUUAUCCUACGAGAGUUUGCUAUAGAAGACAUAUUUUAACCGUUGAUUAAAUGAUUUCUAGUUUAUAUUAAUAAUAAUGUAGGUAGAAUAUCGUAAAAUACAAGGUAGAAGACUAAAUUAAUAAUAGUAAAAAAUUAUGAAUACAAAGAUGUAAAAAUUAUUGAUGAAAUGAAGAUGUUUUUUAUGAUGACUUUUGUUGUGAGAUUAAGAACAACUUUUAGAUUUAUCCAAGAUUGGGAAUUACAUCCUCGAAUAAUUAAUUACACUGAUGAUAUAAUAAAUUAACAUUAUAGAGUAGACUAUAACUUGUAGUAAUCUAUUACCACACAUUAAAAUUGUGUGAGGGUACUCAACUUCAACUUUUCACAUUUGUCUCUGGAAUUGUUUUUGUGAAUGCAUCACUUCUUUAUAUAAAAUUAUACGGAAAUUACACGAGUUAUCAUUUAGGUAAUUUUUUUAAAAUUUGUCUAUACAAUAUUUGCCCAAGAAAAAAAAAAGUUAAUUAUUAUGAAUAAAAAUAUUAUUUUGAUAAUUUUUAUAAACGUAUCUUAUUUAAAAGUAAAGAAAAUUAUGUAAAUGAUUUUUUUUUUCAAUUUUAAACAACUCGGCAUUAAAAUUAUAAGUAACUUUUUUUACAAAUCUCUAAAACAUUUAAAACCGAAUCAAACUCGAUCCAUCUUUUAGUUCUUUUAAUUAUAUGUUAUCCAAAAUUUAAUAUAGAUUAUGAUGGUUUAUUUAUAUAAUAUUUUUUUAUGUUAGAAUUAAUGUUGAAUAAAAUUUGUUAGAAUAAGUUUUGGGUGAUUCCAAUAUCAUCUUAAAAAAAAUUAAAUUUAAUCAAACUUUACAAAGAAGAGAGAUUUAUAAGAUGGGACUUAUGUCUCCCUAUAUACUUGAAACUUAUUUUAUGUAAAAUCUUUAAUAUGAACUCUUUUUUUUUAUCGUGAAAGGACAAUUUUCUUUAAAGUUAAAAUAUAAUUAUUAUAUUUUGUUGUGAAAUUAAGUUAGUCUUACAAUAAUUUAAAAUAUAUUUUUUAUAUUGAUUAUAAUUUAUCAAGUAUAAAAAAUGGCACAGAUAAUACUUUUUUAUACUGGUGAUAGUUAUAAUCAAUAUAAAAAGUGGAUAGGUGAUUUUUGUGAUAAAUAAAAACAUUUAUCAAUUCUAAUUUUAAUCGGCAUAGAAAAUGGAUGCAAUAAUAUAUUUGUAAUAAAUUAAAAAAAAUUCUAUAUCAAUUAUGUUUUUAUAAUAAAUAAAAAAAUUUUCAAUACCAAUUUUAAUUAUAACCAAUUUAGAAAAUAGUUUCUUAUAUUUUUUAUUUAUUUAUAAACAAAAACCUAUACUUAAACCUUUCAACUUUUGAAAUCCUUAAGCAGAACCACGCAUUUCAAUCGUGAAUCCUUUUUUUCCUAAUCAAGCCACCUUCGUGCAACCACGACACUAGGAGGUCGCCACUGUGAUGCUGACGUCAGCGACUACCUUUGCUAGUGUGAGUUCUUCUUCUCACGAUGAGGCUCGUCUACUUGUCAUUUCUCCUCUGCACUUACUACCAUGAGCAUGCAUGGGUCUCCUUUUCUUGCGCCUCAACACCCUCGUCAUUGAUAGGAAACAAUGUUCGAGCAAGGAGGCGCGUAAUCAUGAAUAGGGUAUAGGGUCCUUGGUACUUUUGGAUCUAUUUAGUUUAUUGAUUGUGUUGUUGGAGCUGCUUUGUGUGCUACUAAAAAUUGCUUACCUAGUUAGAUUUGUUGAGCUUGUUGUUGUUAAUACUUUGUUCACUAAAUUGGAAUAUUUGGCCUCAAGAGCAUUAAAUCUAGUGGAGAGAUCUUGGUUUUGUAUGUUACUAUUGUUCGAGGAUGUCUGGUCUUCAUUUCGUGGACUCGAAUUUGAACAGUGCAGUUUUUGUAAGAAAAUGGUUAACACUUGUGCAAAUGAAUGAAGACAACCAAUUUGGACCAACAAUGUUUUGUCGAAAUCAACAGUAUCUAACUAAGCUUAACGUCAUCUUUGUUAACCUCGAUAAAAUCUGACCGAGCUCAUCAAUUUAGUCCGAAAACCUUUUGUUAUUGUUUUAUUCAUUACUUGACAUUUUUAAUAUACCACUUACAAAAAGUUUAAGUUAUAAUGAGACGGAUUUAGUCAAAUAAGGUAAACUUUUGAAAUUUUGGAAGGAUUUGGACAAAUUUUUAUAUACCAAUUAUACCUUUAACGGAUAUAAAAAGUAAUAUAAAAUCAAUCUCUUUUGUUCGUGGAAGUUAAGUUGUUAAAGCUUGGAUUCUUAUUCUUUCUUUUGCUUGAUGUGUAUCGUUUUUUUUUUUUUUUUUUUGUGUUAUGUCGGUGUGGUUCAUAUCACAAUCCUUUUGUAAAUUAAAAGAUCGAACCUUGCUUUGAAAUAAAAAGAAUCGAACAAUCGAUAUGAGUCUUGGUGAACCUCAAAAAUUGUAUUGCAUGAUAAAAGUAUAUUCUUUCCUGCUCUAGAAAAUCCUAUCAUCCUUAUCUUUCCUUAUGAAUCCUAACCUAAUCAAAGUCAAGAAGCCUCUCGUUGAUUUUCCUUAAAAAGGUCAUUGAUUUCACUUAUUUGCUGAUAUAAAAAAUCCUUAGACUUAUAUGCAUUUAUGUUACAAUAGUCUUUCCUAACUUAAAUUGAGUGUGGGCGUUUCCAUGGACAACAUCUCCAUCAUCCAGCUUGAACUCUGAUGGACGCAAUCAUAGAAUUUUGGACACGCAAUCAGAAAAGGAACAAAUGUCAUAAAAAUGGUGGUCAUGAAUGGCAUCAAACUUUCGUAGCCAUAUAUACACUCUCUUUAUAAGGUGCAAAGUGAAAAGGUUUUUGGCAUGUACUCAAUUCUUUCAGUGUUUCUCUUUCUUUUACACAAGCGAUCAUAGUGGAGAAAUUAUAGUAAUUUAAAUAUAUCAAAAUGCAAGACCAUUAUACUUAUUGCAGUAUGAGUAAUUAUAUCAAAAUGCAAGACACAUUGAUCAUAUAUGCAUGCGCAACCACAUUAAUAUUAAACCAUUAUAAUAUCGCCAUGUGAAUUGAAGUUGAAGGUUCAAAUUAACAAUUAUACUGCUAUACUUGAGAACGGUGAAAAUGGAGUUGACAUGAACUCUCACAUCAGUAGAAAAGAAAUAGCUAACCUGGUAAUAUAGUUCACAAAUGGUAAAUGAUGUCCUUUUGCUGUUGGCUGUCACGCAAUAUAAUGAAGAUAUUCUUAGUGUUUUUUCAUGUACAAAGUGGGAGAAAAGAUUCUGCAUAACAAAAAACACUACACACAUUAUAUAUAGUUUAUUUCUAUCUCAGUAAGAAAAAGUAAACACACUUAUCAUCCUCUUGCACCAUAAAAUUUACAAUCAUUUUAUACAGGAAGAAGAAGAAUUACUAUCUAUAUCUAGACGAAAAGAAUAUCAGUUAGCUUUCCCGCUGGUAUAAAAAUCUUACACAUUAAUUAAUUGGGUAAUGAUAUUUUAACAACACUUUUUGACAACAUUUUUUACAACGAACAGGACACGCGUCAUCAAUUUAUUGAUCUAUUUGAAUUUAUUUUUAAAAAAUAUUUAAAACGGACCAAUCACAAACUGUUACGUAUGCUUUGGGAAAAAAUUGUUAAAAAAAUAUUAUUAAACGAAGUUUUUCCUAAUUAAUUAGAAGUUAAUUUAGAUAUUAAAAAAAUUAAUUAUCUUAUUAUAAACAAAAACAAUUAAUUUUCGUAUUUUGAAGGGUUAAUUUUUAUCUCACAACAUACCUCUGUCAAAAAACAAAAAGUAGAGGAUAUACCGUUUACGCCCAACAAAACAAUUCAAAUAUGUGUAAAUAUGUUAUGAAUGUUUGUAUUAAAGUUGUUUUAAUGUUUUCAUUUUUAAUUAAUUUGUCUACAAAAACUGCUUAUUUUUCUCUUUUCAUAUAUAAGUUUACUUGUAUUUUUAAUAUUUUCAAUUAUCUUGAAUUUAUUUCUAAUUUUUUAAUUUAGCCUCUAUUAUUAUAACAAUGUAAUUUUGGUUUAUCUAUUUAUUUGACAUUUAAUUUUAAUAUAAAAAUUAUAUGGCAUUCUAUUAUAAUAUUAUGUAGUAAAUUUAUAUUGGUGUGAUGAAAUUUUAGAUAAUUUCACGUUGUUGUUUUUAUUAAAUAUUAUUAAUGAAAACACAUGUGACUAUGCGUGUUUAUUUUUAUUUGAUAAUAAAAAUAAUGAAAUUAUUAUUAUAAAAAUAAAUAUAAAUAAUUUUUUAUUUAUUUUGUAGAUAUUUUUAUUUAUUGGGUAGAUAAUUUUAUUUAUUUAAUUUAAAAAAUUAUAUUUAAAAAAUAAGCUAAAUUUGAAUAAAAUAGUAACACGGAUAAAAAAAAUAGACACUAAGAAUAAAAAUUUCCUUUAUAUAUAAAUAUAGAAGUAAAAAUAAUAAAUAAUUAAUUAGUGCAACUCUAAACUCGACAUAUAGUUUGCUUCUGGUAUUGAUAUCUAGUCCCAGCUAAAAAUAUUAUAAACUUAAAAUAAGUCAACUUAAAAUAAGUCAACUUAAAAUGAGAAGAUUACAAUAAGUAAAAGUACAAUUAAGUAUUUUUUAUAAGCAUAGCUUAUCGUGGACACUCUACUUAAUAUUAUAGUAGUAAGAAAAAGACAAUUUAUAAACAAUGGUUUUAUGCAUGUUAAGAGUCAAAUUUAGUGCCUAAGAUAAUGUGAUAAACAAUGUUCACUUACAAAUGUCUAUUUUUUAGGAAUUGGUGGCCAUCAGGGGCUAGGGCGUCGUCUUUUUACUUAUAGCUAUCUUUUAUUGUAUUUUCGCUUAAUUCCAUAAUUUUUUACAAAAUAUUUACACCUUCAUAAUUUUUAUUUUUAAUUUUGUAAAUAUUAGUAUGUCGUAUAUAAAAUUAUACAUUUGUUUUCAAUUGGUUGUCGAAUUAUUAAAUGUUUAAGUUAUAAUAAGUCAUACAAGAUCAAGUUGGGUAGUCCAUUUUGAUAUAUUGUUUUUAUCUGAGAAGAUUGAUUUACCUUUUUGCGACCACAGUGUAAUAAGUAAACAACAUAGAUUGAAGUUGGCUAGAAUUACUAAAGCAAAUACAUAUUAGACUUGAUUCAUUAUAAUAUGAGAAAAUUAUUGAAAUUAUCCCUAGGAGUGACAAUAUUUUGUGUCAAUUAAUGAUUAUUUCAAGAGAUUGUGAUGUACCUUAUCAAGAGGAAGUCAAAUUUACUUGUAUUCAAGGAAUCAAAAACACGAGUAAAGCUUUAAACUAGAAAAAGAAUUUAAGUGCUUAGACUAUGCUAGCAAUGUGAAGAAGUAUCGCCUGUGGGGUCCCACUACCCGCAAGAUUAGUAUUAGUAGGGAUGCAAUUGAUGCUUCAACCAAAAGGCUUUAAAGAAUAAGAAAAGUUGGUUUUCACGUUGAACAAAUCUUUGUAUCGUUUAAAUUAGACGUCUAGGUGUUCGUACAAGAAAAUUUGAUUCCUUCACUAGCCUUGGUUACAACAAACAAAGUUUAGACCAUUGUGCUUAUUACAAUAGGUUUGGUGAAAAUGAUUUUAUCAUAUUCUUUUUAUAUGUGGGUGACAUAUUUGUGGUAAGUCUCAACAAAGUUUGAAUCAGAAAUUGAAGGCAUAGUUGGCUGAGAAGUUUGAUAAGAAAGACUCAGGACCAACAAAUAAGAUUUUAGGGAUGCAAAUUCAUCGAGAUACAAAAGAUAGGAAGAUUUGGCUUUCUCGGAAGAAAUACUUAUCGAAGAUCUUGUAGUGCUUUAACAUGCAAGAUUGCAAGCCAAUAUUUAUCCUAUUUUCUAUCAGUUGUAUAUUAUCCUUAAAUAUGAGUCCUAUCAGUAAAGCGAAGAGGAUGAAAAGAGUAUACUGUGCAUCGAGGGUGUGUAGCCUUAUGAAUAUUAUGAUGUUUACAAAACUAGAUAUUACACAAAUAGUGAAAGUGGUUAAUAGAUUUAUUGACAAUCAAGGUGGUUAGCAUUUGAAAAUAAACAACAUGGAUGACAAAGUACUAUGUGGAUACAUGGAUAUUUGAUUAGUUUAAUCAAAAUUGUGAAGGACAAAAGUUUCACAUUUGUGGAAACUUCUAUGGAGCCUUGAUGUGUUCUUAUAUAAAUAGACCAUGGUUCCUUAACAUCUCUUUCUCCUUUCCCUUGUAUGUUGGAGAGAAAAUUCCAAGAAAGAAUAUUAGUUUCAUUUAGAGAUUUUAAUAUUUGUUUUUUUAUUUCUUACAACAAAAGAGAAUAUUAUAUAAUUUUUACCAUUAGUAUAAAUUUUCAUUUGUGGAUAUUUUUCUCAUUUUUACUUGUGUGAACUUAUACAAUUUGUCUCCUACUUAAUAUUGAGUUGAUGUUUAACGAGUGAAAGAAUUAUAUAUUGAUCGACAAAAUAAUUUUUGGUAAAAAAAUGUUUAUAUUUUUCUUGAAACUUAAGAUUAUUUAAAGUCUUCUUUAGUUUUUAAAAUAUCAUAUAGUAAGAUAAAAAAAAAAGUGUGAUAAGAACUUGAUAAAAGAAUAAUAAGAUAAGAAUUAAUCAUCCUGAGAAUUUGAUAUAAAAUACAGGAAUUAUACUUAACAUAUGUUCGUAAAGGAGAGAUAAGAAAUGAUAUAUAAUAUUUGAGAAAUUAAAAAUAUACUUAAUUUUGAUUGUACUUAUAUUAUGUAUAUAUAUACACUUAUAUAUAUAUAUAUAUAUAUAUAUAUAUAUAUAUAUAUAUUCACCGUUGAAUCAGUUUUUUUACCUGCAUUGUAAAGAUAUGUAUAUUAGUUGAACUGUAGUUUGCAAACUAAAGUCUGCAUUUUAUGGGAGACAAAGUUUUAUCUUCCGAUAAUGUUUAGUAUUAAGUAGUAACGAGUAUUUUAAAAUUAAAAAAAAAUGACACUUCAUGAAAGGCCAAAUGAAUCAACUUUUAGAAACAUCUAAAAGAAACAAACAUGGUUAUAAUACUAAAUCAUCUUAAACCUUAAACAUUAUUCUUUGGUUGGAGAUCUCAUAUAAGUUAGAAUUAAGACUAAAUCAUGGUUAAUAAGUGAAAACAAAUGUCAUGAGGAUUAUACGACUGUAUCUUACAUUUAAACCUAUUAUGGGUGGGUUGUUACUUGUACAUGUAGCUGGUGUUACACUAUGCUGAAUACCUAUUUACAAUGUAAAUAGAUAAACACCUUCAAAUUUGAUGAGAUAUGUUAAUGGUAGAUAACAUUGUGGUAGAUAUAUGUUUCAAACUGAAGGAGGAAGGAGCUAGCUAGUGUUCAGAGUGACUGCUUCUGUGCCAAACUGGGAAGCUUCUUGGUAACAGCUAUAGCACAUAGUAGUAACUUGGCUCAAGCACUAGAACAUGAUUUCCUUCUAGGAACUACAUUUUCUUCUGUCCCUUUGGAAACAGAAUGCCUAACUCUAGCCUUUUCACUGCCUUCCACCCAUCUCUUGAGCCUUUCAAGCAACUUUGUCCUUUUUGAAGAACCACUGUCACUGUGAUCAUGGCCACCACGAUGUUCAUCAAAGGAAGGAUCGCUGUGUAGUUCGUGCUCUGAGUCAUAAUGGAUGACCACAUCAUUUCUUCCAAAUUCCAAUUCUGAAUGGAUUUUAUCUUGAUCCUGUUGUUGUUCAUGAGGCCUCUUUAGAUCAUGCCUUAAACAGGCAUUGGUCCACCGCAAGUAAAUCAGUUCUUUUGCUUCAUCUGCUCGUUCUUUCUUCAUCUGCUCUAGUUCAUCCACAACCUGUUUGUACUCUUCCCUACUUACAUCUCCACCUUCAAUCUGCAAAUGGAAAACCUUAUAUUGUAUCCUUAUAAACUCUCCCUUCAAAGAAACAAUUAACAACUAAAAUAGUUAUCUUUUUAGUAACACUACUAUUAUUUUGAUUAUUGAUCUGAGAAGCCUUCUAGGUUUGAACCAGUAAAUGAUGGGUUUUAUGCAUUGCUUACCCUUGAAGCAUGUGAUUUUUCUGCUGUGUCAAGCUUCUUCAGAAGUUCAUUCUUUUCAUUCUGCAAUUGAUCCAAAUCCCUCUUCAGCUCUUCCAUUUUAUCCUCUAAUUUACCUAUGACAUCAACUUUUGUUUCCAAGGCAUCACGGCUUCUCAAGAUUUCUUCUUCUUCCAUUUUUAUCUUCAAAGCCUGCUCCUUGGCCACGCGGGUUUGUGCCUUUGAUUUCCUCGUUAGCUUCUGAAAUUUCCUCCGAAGCAUUCUAUUCUCAGAUUUCAAACGCUCAAUCUGUUCUACAACUCUGAGAUAUUGAGCAGCAAAACUCUCCAACCUCCUAUUCUGUGUCUCCACCGAUGAAAUCUCCCUAUCCAAGAAGUCAACUCGAGCAGUCUCAAGUGACAACAUGUUUUUGAUCUCCCCAACCACCAUUUCUUGCUCUUUCAACCCACAAUAACGAUCAAACUGCAAACGCAAGGCCAACUCUUUCAUUUGCAUACCCUCAAUCCUGCUUCUUAAGCCAUUAAUCUCCUCUUCUAAACAUGGGAUGUCAGGGAUCAGAAAACUUUCAGCAACAACACUUUCAUCCAAAGUUGUACUAUUUCCUUCAUCUUCCAUACAAGAGAGGCUAUGGCUAUGACAACUUUCUUCAUAUGAAGGGUCGUGAUGGGAAUCGCUUUCAUGGGAACUUGCUCCAUUUGGUGAUAAAGAAGAGGUUUUAGAGAGGCUUUUCUUUGCCACGAACCAAGCAUAGACAAAACCAGCAAAAGACACAGCCAAAGGAACACCUGCUUUGAGGAUCACUGGCUUCAGGACCUCAUGCUUUGAUGUUGAGUUUUCCAUUCUGAAGAACAGAGACAAGUAUAAUUUCAGAGAUUUGGUUAGACUUUUAUUUUGAUCAAAAACACAAUGGAAGACACUAAAUAUAUUGAUUUGAUUCUUGUUGUGCGUCGCGUUAGCAAAGAUUUGAAAGAUGGUUUCCUUUUAGAGGAAGAAGCACAAUGAUAUAGCUUUUUGACUUCCCCUGGAGGCCUUCUACGCCACCAAAUGCUGUCAACUACCUUCUUCUUCCUCUUUGGAAUCUAAUUCUUUUCUGAAUUAACAAAAAUUUUGGCUUCUUUCCUUCUACGGUAAACCAUGCUGUGAGGGUAUAGUUUUCACAUUUCUAAAGCUUGAGCAUUUACAGGGAAAAUGAACUCCAUUUCGCUGUGAAAAAUUAUUCCUUGAAUGGUGUGAUUUCACAUAAUCAGGUUGGAAUCAAGACUUUGUAUAAAUUAUUUGGAUUUCAUUAUUAGAUCAAAUGUAGUAAGUAUGAUGAUUUUGUGUCUCGGGAUUAGGGUUUAUGGGUGAUGAUACUAAUUAAGUGACUAUAAAACUUAAAUAUAUUUGUAAGUUUCUCGAUUUAAUAUAAUUAAUUUUUAGUCUUUUAAAAAGUUUAGGAAAAUUAAUUUUUUUCAUUCAUCCUUCUUUUACAUCAUCUUACUUUUUUGAGGCAGGGAGAGUAAGGAAAGGAAUAAUCCUACUUUUACUUUUUGUUGUAUUUUUAUCUAUGUAUAUUUUUUUUUUUAUAUACUAACUAUUGAUUUUAUUUUAUUCUUGUGUUAGUGCGUUCUCCAUUGCCAAGUUUGAUAUUAUUCUUUCUACUUUAAUUUUGGAAAAUGUUCCAGAAUAAAAGAGAUCAUGCCAAAAAAAACUAUAGAAUACAAACUCGUGAAUCUUUUAACUUAAACUUUAUGAAAAAAUUAUAGUUGACCAUGUACUUCACUAAAUGAUCUGAGAUCAAUUUUAUCAUAAAAUAGACUUAAAAAAAUUAGUUUAGGCUUCUGAAUAUCCAAAAAAUUGUUUUCAAAUGAAAUAUAUAUAUAUAGUUAACUUUGUUUCGUUUAAAUACCUAGUUUUCGUAUUUUCUUCAUUUCAAUAAACUUGAAACCGUAUUUAUUAAAACAGAGACUAAGAAAAAUCUUUAACUUUGACUUUUUUUUAUUCGCUUAUAAAGCUUUUAAAAAAAUUAGUUAUGUUUUUAAUGUCGAUGCUUCAAAAUCUGAAAAGUUUAGGAAACCUUUUUUUUUUUUUUUAAUUUUCUAUUCUUUUGAUAAAUAGUUUUAAAAAACUUGGUUAAAUAUUAUGAAGUUACUGAGAUUCUCAAUCAUUUAUAACUUUUUUUUAUAGAACUUAAUGUUCUUAAUAAAAAAAGGUUAGAGUCAAAAUUUUGAAAGAAAGAAAGUGACGUGUUGAUAAAAAAAUGUUAAAUAUUUCUAAUUUAUACUUUAAAUAUAAAAAGUUUCAUCGUAUCUAUAUUUAUUUUUAAUUUUAUUCUUUAAGUCAAUAUUUGUUAAAUUAAAAUAAUUAUUUUAUCAAUUUUGUUUUUUAUGUGAUUUUUUUUAAAUUUAAUCUUUUUUAAUUUGAAUAUUUUUUAAGCUUAACCAUUCUUUUAUUUAUAAAACUUCAUAUAAAAUAAACAAAUACAAUUUACAAUAAAAUUACAAAAAUUAUUUUAAUUUUAUAAUUAUGAUAAUAAUAAUUUUAUUUUCUUUUCUUAAGCUGACUUGAUUUUGAAAAUCUACACUCAGAUACAUUCUUUUUUUGUUUUUGCUAAUAUUUAAUGUUUGACAGUUAAUUUAUUGUGGUGUUCAAUAAUCCUAAACAAAGCCCCACUUUUAGAGGACAGAAUUAAAUCUUUAGAAUUAGUGAAUCACAGGAUGAAAGUACUCAGUGAGUAAAAAAAUUCUUAAUCCCGUAAAAUUAGAAGCUUCGUAGUUUAGGAUAAACCCACUUUAAAGAACCAUAUUUCAUCCUUAUAUAAAGAAGAAAGAAACAAAUCUUUUUUAAGCUUUAAAGAGUUCGUCUGUUUUUCUAAACAAAAAAUGUUAUUUUGUUAAUGUGUAUUUUAUUGGUUAUUUUAUUUUACAUCAGUAUCAGUUACUUAAUACAUCUUGAGUGCUAAGCUAUUAAUUAUGUGACUUAUAAGAACACGACUCUCCUCUCCUUGUUACAGAUUAAAUUGAUUUUAUAUAUAUACUAUUUUAGUAAUAAAAAACUUAUAACUAUAUAUACUUCAAUUGCAUGAUUAUGAUUAUUCUCACUUAAACAUUUGAUUCAAAUAAAUCUAAUAACAGGGUUUCCAACAUGAGCGUACAAGAAACUCCUUGCACGGGGAUAAUGGAAGAUUGGAGUAACAUCUGCACCAACUGGCUGUGUUGCCCGCAGUCAUUAUUAAGUCUCUGGAAGCAACCAAUCUCUUUCCACACCAAAUCAGAUGCCUUUUCCUUUAGCAUAAACUGAAACAGCAUCUUUGGUAAUUUAUAUAUGCUAACCUCUUUGGGAUGUGAUCACCAGUUCACCAACAAUGGCAUGUGCCAGAAAAAGGACACAAAAAGUCGUAUGAACAAAUAUUCAAUUGAGGGCUCUCAAAUUCCUUGAAUAUGAAUUAAACUGCAGAAGAAUGCAUGGGAUUAACAAGACCGUCUAAGGUAGUUGAGUAUCAAUAAAUUAAAUCUCCCCGAUGUGUAUGUAUGAUUCUCAGUCACACUCAAACUAGAAAUCCGAAAUCCAAUGACGUUAUUUUAGAAAACAAUCAUCUCUCAUUUGGCUUAUUUCUAAAGUGGCCUUUAAAUUGAAUGUUAGUUCCUUCAGAAAAAUGUUUGACACCAAUAUUACCUGCCCACUUCCAUUGACUUUUUCAUUGAGUGAAAUAAAGACAUAAGAACAUUGUUUAUCCUUAAUACAAAAAAUGGCACAACCAAAAAUACUAGCAAAUAAAGGACUGGUAAACAGAAACACAGAAACAUGCCCUGAUCUUGCCACACUUAUCAAAGUAGGUGCAACAGAAAUUGGUACGAUUUCAUUAUAUACAACAUAAAAAUACUGACCACCUGAAGCAGAUCAAGAAAGUUCAAAUCCGGCAUUUGAACUUAUAGCAUAUAGAAGCUUUGCUCUCAAGGUGCCUGGCCGUUUGUAUGUCGGAAGCUGUAAUCAUUGAGAAAUAGAAAAUAAAAGCAUAAAUAAUUCAGAAGUAUGACAAAUUGACGAGAGAUUGCCUGAAAAUGCCAACAAUUUUGUCUUAAGUGACUCCACACUAAAUGGGCAUGGUUAGUUAGUGGACAUACAAAUUUCCGCACUUAUUGCUAAGAAACCUAUUUAUACGAUAUUUUGAAAUAUGAGAUUAUGAAAAACUCAAGAUUGUGAUGCGUACUCAUAAACAACAUAAAGAUCUUGACUUUCAAGCAUGCCAAACCCCAAAUAUUAUUCAUAAAACCUACAGACCCCUGUGCUGGAAGCUCCUCACUUCACAAAUGCACCGAGGGAGGGUAAUUAUAUGUAGCCUUCCCUCAUUGCACAAAGCAUAGAAGCGAUUUAAAAACUAACCAAGGCAAAACUUUACUGUUGUGUCAAGGAUUUCCCUCAAUAUUUCAUAGAUUUAACAUAAUAAUAGAAAAAAAAAAAUAAUAAUAAAAAAAAAAAAAACUUGGGAAUUUAGAAAUCUAUCAUGCUAAACUACUCCUCCUAAGCACAAAGUUAGGAAUGUGUUUCUCUGUUACUAUAUUAUAUUAGUAGUACCUUAAGUGUAUUGUAGCAGGUUGAAGCUGAUGGAAGCCGAUCUACAUCCUGUCCUCCAAUUGUUGCCCAAAGAGGAACAUCACAAACAACCUGUGUAAACAAAUAGACAUGAGUGCUAAUCAAUGAAAUCAAGACGUUUUAUCAUUAAAAAAAUGCAUCAUUUUUAUGGUUUCAUCUAAUAACUGGAUCUUGAUGUUGCAUAGGAGGGAAAAAGAAUAACAGAAAUCCUAGAAAAAAAAGGCAGGUGACAAGAUGAAGGCUUGAGUAUCUCAUAGCAAGCACUUAAAGCACUGAAUAUCUAAUGGAAAGCUUCUUCAUUUGUAGCAUCGAGAGCAACAAAUUAUUAUAGAUAACUGAUUAGAAGAGUUCAAGACGUUUUGCUUCCUAACUCAAUUGUUGUGCUUAAUAUACUCUGCGUGAGCAACAGAAAAACUUCAAAUAUAUCUUAAUCAUUAAAGAAUAGAACUUAAUAUACUCUGCGUGAGCAACAGAAAAACUUCAAAUAUAUCUUAAUCAUUAAAGAACAGAACAGAAUGGGAACAGAGAAGACUUAGUAUAAAUGGUUUUGAAUGUCCAUCAAACAUAAAAGAUUAAGAACAUACCUUGUGGAUGGUUAGUGGUGGCUGCAAGUAUUUGAACCCGAGUAAUGGAGCACGAGAACAACUGGUGACAAAUUUAAGAAGCAGACAACGCUCUUGAGGUUCAAAUCCUUUAAUCACCUGUACACAAUAGGCAGAAAACAGAAAAUGAAUAAAGAUAACUUAAAAUUAGCAUCUACACAAAUAAUAUGAAUUAACUCUUAAAUAUAAUUCAUGAAGGUGAGAAAAAUGCUCAAAAAUCACGUGUCGAGAAAGAGAGGACCUAUAGUUCAACCAAAAAAAUGAAACCUAAUAGCCCUUUCUAGGAGAGGAACAGAGGAGUGAAAGACCCCAGAUUUUUUAACUUCGUAUUUUAGGAUUUACUUCAUCUAUAACCUACCGAUCUUAAACAACAGAAAAUAUGAAGAAAUAAUUUUGACUCUUAUCAAAACAUCUAUAUAGUAACACAGCCAUUGUAUCAUUGUAUGUAUCUGACCUGUUUGCAUUCUAGAAGAAAUAUUUGAUUGUUUGUUUUGAAAUGAAAAAUGAAAUUAUCUUUUCCUGUAAGUUUUUAGUAGUUCUACCCUCUUCUCGAAGUAAAAACUAAUGCCCUAAAGUCCCAUAACUAUUUUUGACAGAGCCAUCCGUGGAAUGGAAUUACUACCAUGUCAAGUCCAAUUUACCCCAUUUUAUUGAAAAUAAUAUAAUAAAGGACGCAACUUUUUACAACAAAUCAUUAAUUCUUACAAGCAAAAUCAGCAGAAAAAGUCUGCAAAAUUUUCCACGUAUUACUUAUAUAUGAUCACCAUGCAUAAAAUUGGGGUUGAUACUAGUAAAUAAAGCAGAACAGAAGCAAUAUCAUCAGCUUAAAUAAUUUGCUUUGCAUGGAUAGUUUUAAUACAAAAACAACUGGACGAAUAUUCAUGAGAACUGUACAUAUUUGGGUUAGGAUCCAAGUACACAAGGUGUAAUACUUAGUCAAAUUACACUUUUAAUAACUUUCUACACAAUGCAAAUUUAAUCAAUCCAACCAUUCACUUUUAUUAUAUUAUCUCAAUGAUCACAUCUAUAAAAAAAUUUUAAAAAAAACGCACUUAUUGAGAUGACAAUACCUCCCAAAAUAUCUUGAUUGUCCGGCUUCCCUCAUUGUAACCACCAGUAUAUCGAGUGUUAUUUUUCAGAUCAUCAACAUCAAUAUCAUAAUUGCCACCUGAAAGCAACUGCAUUCCUAUAUAGCUAAGAAAUCUUGCUGGUAAAAUUAACUGACUAAAAUGUAUUUUUACUAUUAAAUGUUUUUCACAUUGGGUGUAGUUGGUGAAUAAAUGACUCUAGAUUUGGGGACUCUAAUAGAGUAUCUUUCUCUUAUUAUAUUCAUUUGAACAAAUUAAAUAGCUACUUCAAUACUGAUACAGCGGACAAUAACACUAAAUGCAGAAUUCUGUCACAAAAAUGUCCUGGUGCCCUUUGUACGAGAAAGAAGCAGAAAGAGUAAAUUUGCAAAAGAAAACCAUUUCAACACACUAAGAAAGAGAAGAUACCUGAUUAAAUUCACUAGCAUUGAAUAACUUCAACCAGGAUGGACAUAUAAGAUCAGUUAACCCUCUAUAAAACGCAUUUGAAAAGGGCAACAUCUGUAAUUUCAACAUGGUCAAAUAUAUAUCCACGAUACAACAGAGAAUACAGAAGUGAUAACCUGCAUUAUACUACAGUAAACAAUGGUAAAACCUGUUGGUUGAGUUUGUAGUCUGCCAUUGCAUGCAUGUACUGCAUCUUGUUCUCAUUCGUUACAGAAAUAUCUUUGCCACCAGACUUAAGUUCAACCACAUACCUUUUACCCAAUGAUUCUUCAGUAACUGUGAAAUCAAGACAGAGCUCCGUGAUAUCACCGUCAUAAUUCUGCAUGAAUGAGUAUGUGAACCUUCCAGUAGAAUGGCAAAAUGCCAGAACACAAAUACACAGUAUCCACCAAAGUCAAACAAACUCAAGCUAAAUUUUAAAAACAAUCAUACAAUAAAAUGCAGUAUGAAGAACAUUAAUGAAGUUUUAAGGACGUCAUGAAUAAUAGUGUUAUUGUAGAGUUAUAUAACAUCCAUUACUACACCUAACCAGAAAAAGACAUGGACUCUUUGAACAAUAUUCGUAUACAAUAUUAGUUAUGCUUUUCGUAGGAUUGCAAAUGGACCUGGCUUGUCUACAGAAGAAGAAAAACUGUAGGGGUCAAGCCAUCAGCAAACUAAGUCAAAAUUCAGAAAACACGGAUCCUAAUAUAAACCAAUGAAUCGUUUUGAAUGUCCUGAAUCCUGAUUAGUUUUGAAAAAAUGUUUAUAUGAAUGGUAUGCAAAACAUCAUGGAUUUUUCUCAUGGUUUACCUUGACAUACAUAAGAUUCCUGUAUAGCUCUGGAUCAAGUGUUGAUAAUUCAUCAAGAAAACUAUAUCGUCCCAAAAGCUUUUGUACAAAAACAUGGGAGAAAGAGUAAUCAAGUAAUAUUCCUUCAUAUAGAGCUUUCCCGACUACUCGUCCAAGGAAUUCAAUCAUCUGAAGACCAUUCUCCAAAUAUCUGGCAGAAGCAGUUGGAAUUAGAAGCCUGUCUGAAGUUGAGGUUUGGGAAAAUAGUCCAUAUCUAAGACAAAAAGGACUAGGUGUCAGUUUACAAAGUCAAUUCUUAAAGAUGCAAUAACCAAGAAAUAGAAUCGAGAAAGUUUGAAAUAUUUUGUCAAACUUACUCAGGAGCAAAUGCUGCUUUUGAUAAGUCAGUCAGAAACUCUUUAGAUAACCCACCAUAGUCCAGGCCAGCCUCAAGAAGACCACAUUCACUAACAAAUGAUACAUGGAUGGAUGACUUCAACCUUGACCCAAGGGAAUUUAAUUGCCGAAAUCCAUCUUCAACAAUAUGACCCCGACGUACUACUAUCUCAAUGGCUCGUGAACCAGGUUCAGAAAUUUCACCGGCCAUUUUUCGAGCUGCUUUAUCCAUCUUGAUGAAUUCACGAAACAUCUCAACUCUAUAGCAGUGUUUAAACAGAUGAUUGAGUUCCUUCUAUAAUCGAUAGUAGACCAUAUAAUGUCUUAAGCUCAAUAAAUGUCAUGAUUUUGAUGACAAGUUGCAAUUAAAUAUUCCAUCUGAACUCAAUUACUCUACUUUUCUUUAAAAAAAAUCCAACUCCAUCAUAUUGAUCAAUACUGUCAUUAACAAUAGUGUAUUCCUACUUAUUUUCUUUACUUAUGUCUUUCUAAUGUUUAUCAUAUAGUGUAUAAUUCAUACAUAAAUACAACCACUCAUGUAAUACAAUGUUCAUUACUUCAUAGUAUAAAUGGGUAUUAUUUCAAAAUGAUUUUCAUGAACAUAUCAAAUUUAAGAUAGUUUGAAAGAGAAAGUGAUAAUAUCAGUAAUCUUCUACAGUGUACUCUGUUUAAAGAUAUUUCAUUUGACCAGCCAACACUAGAAGGAACAAAAAAUAAUAUAUGAAUGUACCUUGAAAUCUUAAUUUAGUCUAUACAAGCUCAGUGACUCGACAACCAAAUUAAGAUCAUCUUUUUAUAUAACUUAUAAUUUCUGCUCAUGUGAUAAAAUUUAAUAAAUCGAUUCAUUUUGGCUACGACACAGAUCAUCUAGCUCUUCACUUAUAACUUAUCCUUCAAAGGAAUCAAUACAAUGCAACAACUAAAAUGUCAUAAGACAUAAAGAACAGAACAGCAUAAUUAGAUAAAAUGUUUAUCAGUCUUCUUAAUGGUCAUGGAAUUAGUUACCUCUCCUCAAAAGGGAAAACGUGAGGAACAAUAGUGACAGCAGAACCAACACUCAGUGAAGCUGAUGAAUCAUCAUGUAUCAGGUUGGCUGCUAAAACUUCAUGAGUUCUGGCAGCAACAGCAAUUGGUGGCCGGCUUUUUCUAGCAGGAGAAAGCCACAAAUCAGGAGGACAAAAUGGGUGCCUGCAAUCCCUUUCAUACAGUAAAUGUAAGCAUCUGAUAGCACAAUCCAUUAGGGACUUGUUAUGAUGACCACCAACAUGGGACAAGCCAUUAUAAACCAAUGUAUUGAGCAUAGAUGCAAUUUUUCUUUGCUGCUCUAUUUGGAAUGGAACCUAGAAACAUUAUAUUGCAAAAAGUUAGUUUGAAAAUGUGAAUUAAUUGAUAGAAGAAGAACAGGGAUAAGGAGCAACAGAUCAGUUACCUGUUUCUCAUAGAACUCUAUGUCAUCAAGAACUAAAAGCAGGUGAGAAUAGGUCGCACAGAAAAGAUGAAGCAUAGCAAACAUAUCCUUUGGAAUGCCUUGCGGCCCAUUCCUCAUAGGUUCUAUGUCCCAUAUAUCUGAUGAAUCGUCAUUUGGUCUGCUAGGCUCAGUGUGACUGCUAUUAAAGUCAGUGCAAUCUGUUGCUGCUCGUGACCUACCUGCAAAUUUAUGAAGUACAUUGACCCACUUAUUAGGCCCAUCUUUACUGACUUGUUUUUGCAUCUUCUCAAAGGCUUUAUGUUUGCUUUUUUCACUUAUGUAAUUAUCAAAAUUAUGUUUGUCUCCUGAAAAAAAGGAACCCUCCAGUACACUCCACAAUCUCACAAGAAAUCCAGGAGUGAAUGAUAGCGUGUUGAGAACUGAUAAUGAGCCACGAAUUGGACUCAAGACUGAAAAUAUCCUAAGUACAUUAGAAUAAAAAAGUGCAACAUCACACAAUUCUAGAUUUCCCAGACAUUCUAGGCUACUUGAUGGCACAGUCUCAGCCUUGUUUAUGGAAUCUCUAUUAAUUGAUGCCAAAAGAAUUUUGAGAUGCCACUGCUGACAAACAGGCCUAAAUUGAUCCAUGUAUGACAAUAUUAAGGAUUCAUUGGUCGCUUCACCCUCGUGCUGAACUGCAUCAACUGGGUGUAUUGAACUUUCAUCAGUUUGAAGGGCUUUCUUUUUCUUUCUGACCCAUCCAAUAUUAUCAAGACAAGACAGCAGAGCCUCUGAUAGAGUAAUAACAACAUGGACAUACAAUCCAUGGUCUAAACCUUCAUUGAAGGAUUCAUUCUCAUUCAUUGUUGCUAAGCAGAUAAUGUUAGCAAGGGCCCAACCAACUGGUGGAAUAGCCUUGAAAGAGACAGCAAUCUCUGAUUUCACGAACUCUGACAUCUCCAUCAAAACUUUCUCUUUCAAAAUCUGUCAUUGCCUGUCAGAGUUUGAUCAGUUCUGAUAUGUUUAAAUUCUAAAUUAUGAAGUCAUAUGAUCUUAUUGACUUGAGUUAAAAGCCAAUGGAAGGCAUAUUCAAGAGAAAAGUUCAAAAUCUAAUAAUUCAAUUAAGGCUCACUAUUUUUAAUUCCAUCUGUCACGACUAAAUAUAUAUCAUGGAGGUUUUUCUCUUCACCAUCAAUAACAUAAAAUAUGUAUUUACGCAAAAACAAGUUAUUAGAUAACUAAGGGUGAAAAAUUCAUCUUUCAAUGAUUAUUUUUUCACUUCCAUAGAAAAAUAUGCAGUGUUUUCAGUUAGAAAUAUUGUAUCUAUAUAUUACAGGAUAUAAAUAGUGAAAAAUGAUUAGAAGGAAUAUUUAAAAAUAAGAGCAGAACAAUUAUUUGCAUCAUCAUAAUUGCAAUACUAAAUGAUGAUACUAAUACAAAAAUUAGCUUUAAAGCAACGUUCAUCUUUGAUUUUGCAAGCAUACAACUACAACAUCAAACAAUAUGUAUGCAUAAAGAAGUCCAAUGUGCCCGCCCAAUCAUUAACUCAGUGUUUGAAAGUUGGCACUAAUUUAAUUAAAUUAUAAAUAUCAUUAAAUUUACAUGAUCUGUCACUGUCUUGAAAAAGAAGAAGAAAGUAAAUAUUCAAAGAGAAUAAAGAACAAUUAAAGAGGCCAAGUUGCCAUUGAAAUAAAACAGCAGACUAAUAAUUUAGCAGGUGAAAAUAUUCUACUUUAAUAAUGAUGCUUACCAAUAGAGUCUGGAAGCAUGGAAACAAAAUAGAUUUGUGCUUUAAAGCUGGUAGAAGAAUAAGGGGGAGAUGUUGCACUAGCCAAGGUAUGGUCAGCAGAUAAAGAAUAUACUGCUCAGCAGCAUGGUUGAAAUCCAGCGUAUGAGGCACUUCUGCAUCAUAGUUUAUCAGAUAAAACGGCCGUACAGCUAAAGUUAUUACACUUGCAGUAAUGAAAAAAUUUCCAUCUGCCGGGGUGAUGAUCUUUGACUGGGAAGAAGGAUUUUCUAAUGCACUAAUAUAUCUGCCAAUAGACACAUAACAACCACUUUUAUCACUGCCCAUGAACUGAAUUAAAUCUUUCACUGCUAAAUCUGCAUCAAAGUGGUUGUCAUUUGUUAUUCCUUUCCAUCCUUUCAUAUCAGUUAACAUUACAAGAAUACGCAUGGCGAGAGAUGUAACAACAGUAAUAUCUUGGGCCCCGGAAGGGUGUUUACUGAACUCUGAAAGAAUAACAAAACUAAGAAAAGUCAGCUUGCGUGCCUGGUAUCUCCAUAUUCUUCUUUCUUCAGUUGUACCAAUUGCCAAAAAGCAAAAGUUCAGCUUUGAAUCUAACCAAAGAAAAAAAUAGACCCCUUAGUAAUGUAUUAAUUAUAUUAAACAAAAGGAAAAAUGAGAAGCAAGGACGGUGGGGGGACAGCCCUUUUGAAGUCUCAAAACUAAGAAAAACAGCACAACAAAAAGUAUCUUUGCAUUCAUUAUUUCAUAUAAUCUCGUCAUGUAACUAAAAUAAACUGACUUGUAUAAUCGAAAAGUCAACUUCAAAUCCAAUAAAAUAACAUCCAAAUAAGAGGAUAUACCAGAAGAUUUCAGGCUUUCCAAUAUGACGGUAAAGCACAGUUUGAUAGAAUCUAUUCUCUUGCAGUUGACCUUCUGACGUUGAGUGGAGAUAAGGGUAAUAAAGAACAGAAAUGGUCUCAACAAAUUGUUUGAAAUCCAAUCUGCUGUCAUUACACCAGUAUAAUGAUUCACUGCUAUCUCCCACUCUUGCUGAAGUUGCAGAGAAAUUGCCUUUGUGACCUUGAAGCGCCUCCACACUCUCUGUUAACAUUAAAAAUAGCCCUUAUUUCUCCACUUUGAUCCAACAGAAGGUACAAAUGAAAACUAUAAUGUACUAACAAAUUGCAGUUCCAACUUUCUAAUUUGUGUUUACAGCAAAGUAGGCCUCAAGUGUACAAACUUUUGCCUUCAAUGACUCUAAGUUCAUCGACUUCAUGUUUGGAACAAAAGUAAUACCAAGCAUAGUCUAAAAAAGUAUCAAGAAAUAUCCUAAGAAAAUUUGGAGAUUAAAUAUUGCAUUUCACUUUGUAACCCAUUGCUUCCAUAAGCAGUCAAGAAAUGACACUGAAUGAACAACAGCUCAAAAACAAAAAAAUUGACAGUCACAACACUGACUCCAUUCUGAUGUCUAGGUAAAGUAAGAUGUACGCAAGUUCUGAGCAUAUAGGGUGUUUCCACAACCAGAACUCAUGGCCAAGAGAUCACAUCAAGCUACAAUUUUUCAACUGGACCGAGGUUCAUUAAGAAACAUGGAAACUUCUAAAUGUUAGUCAUGUUGUAAUAGAGUAUAUCACUCAGAUUAUAUCAUUCCUCCCCCUAUACUCGCCUAAUAGUUUUCUGUUGUGAAAGACAGUUGUCACAUACAGUUGCUAUACGAUUGAUUACUUUUACUCCUUUACCAGAUUUCUAACUUACAGUUGAGGCUCGCUCAUCUACAAAUAUGAGAAACUACAGCUAUGUCAAAAAGAGAAGAAUAAUAGGUUUACAGAUUCAUUUUUUUUUCUAAACCUUGGAGUUUUCUUUUCUCUCUCAAUUUUCUCUUCUCGUGUAAUCAUAACGUGUCAAACCCAUAUUAGUGUUUAGGCAUUGCAUUAACACUUUGAUUACUUCUAGUUUUUUUUUUUUUCUAUAAUUUCACAUCGCUAUAAAAUUCAGCACAAUAGAUGGAUUUUAGCAUUUUAUCAUGUCUACAAUGACCCAUACUAAUUUAAAACACGAAUUCUCUCCCUUUGCAUAAUAUUUUUAUUCAUACUAAUUUUACAUGACUUUUGUAUAAGUCAUAUGUAUCCUCUGCAUAAGACAAUCUUGUUUGAAUGAGAGAAAGACCAUUUCAUGCAGUAAAGUUCUCCCUCCGAAUAUUUAAUAUCACUAGUUACCUAGGUUUCGAAUUUGAAAUCACUGAUGAAGGUAAAUUGUCCUUGAGCUCAGUGAUAAAUUAAGUUUACGCAUGCUAUGAGCUUGUAGUGCCACAUAAUGUUUAGAAUUUACCGUAUUCCAGCGCCCAAGUGGCGUGUUAACUUUUAAAAUGAAAGAAAUUGAAAGAACCUGAAUGAAGAGAGCAGCAGCAGCAGCUCGUUUUGCAUAAUUGCGAAGUUCUCUUUCCUGAGUGACCUUCUGAAGAAGAGCGUCUCGCGUUAUCUCCUUCGCACUUGCUCCUCUCAGCGACACCUUAACAACAAGCUCCAUAAUCAGAAAAUGAUCAAAAUUUAAUUACUUGAGUAAUUGAUCGCGGAGGCAAAUCGAGCGCAGUAUUCAUGCCAAAUUCAGGAACGAGAUUGAUUGAUUGCAGGUAAGAAGAGCGAGUGAGUACCUACCUGCUGCUUACGAGGUGCGUCCAUGGAAAUCACUUGCGGAGUUAGCAACGAUUCUCAAUUCCGUUUCCCUUCUCCAUCGCCCUCUUUUUCGUUGCUUUAUUUUUAAGUUAAUUUCGCUGUCAAAAAAACAAUACCAAACACGGAGAAGUAUGUUUUAAGUUUUAUCGUCCCACAAGUUGACCGCUGAUUUUCUUUUAUUUUGUGAUUUGUGAAAACUGAUUACCGUCCCUUAUAUUUAUUGAAAAAUAAUUAAUUUUAUAUUUUAUAUAAAAAAAUGCAAGCAUAAUAAUUGAGUAUGUGUAUUAUUAUUAUUAUUAUUAUUAUUAUAUAUAAUUACUAUAAAGAUGAGGUAAAAAUAAGGUAGAUCUUAGAAGUGCUUUACCAUAACAAUAACAAUUACAUAAAAUGAUAUUAUUUAAAAUUAGAAAAUAUAAAAAAUGUAAAAUAAAACUACGUGAUAAAUGAGAAAGUUGGUUCUGUAGAAGGAGCGAUGCAGUUUGCUUAGUGGGGAGAGAAAUUGUAAAUAUAUGAUAGGGUGUGUGUUUACGCGCCAAGGAUGGAGAGUGGAAAUUGCAGUUGCAACAUAGGAUAUGGUAUUGCUACCGGUGUAGAUAGGUGGCACCCGAGCCUCCAUUGCAAACCCUUCAACUCUUCCCUUUUCUUCAAACCACCACCCUCCAAACCUCUUUCCCUUUCUUUCCGCCGCAACCUCCGCCAUGCCACACACUACCUACCCCCGGAUUCCCACUCCCUCAUCCACGCACUCCACGUCUCCUCCCGCGCCGCCGACACCCAACUCGUCAAGACCGUCCACGCCGCGCUCCUUAAACUCCACGAACACGACACUCGCCUCUUUAACGCCCUCAUAUCCGCUUACCUCAAACUCCGCCUCUUCCCCCACGCCCUCCGCCUCUUCCUCUCUCUGCCUUCCCCCAACGCCGUCUCGUAUACAGCCCUCAUCUCCGCCCUAUCGAAAUGGCCCAACCGCGAGCAUCACGCGCUCAAGCUCUUCCUCCGCAUGACGCACUCCCACCUCAUCCCCAACGCGUACACAUACGUCGCGGUUUUAACUGCCUGCACAAGAAUUCUUCAUUUCCAGUUGGGCCUCCAGGUCCACGCUGCCGCUCUCAAAACGGCCCAUUUCGAUUCCACCUUCGUCGCAAACGCCCUCGUUUCUCUUUACGCCAAGCACGCCCCUUUCCGGGAUGCGCUUAAACUCUUUAACCAAACACGGUACAGGGACAUUGCGUCGUGGAACACUAUUAUCUCUGCUGCGGUGCAGGAAUCCAUGUACGACACUGCGUUUCGGUUAUUCCGCGACAUGCAGACGACGGAUGCUUUUCGAGUUGAUGAUUUCACCUUGUCGAUACUUUUGUCUGCGUGUGCGUCGUUGGUGGAAGGUCAGCAAGUUCACGCGCACGCUGUUAAAUUGGGUUUGGAAACUAGUUUGAACGUUGGAAAUGGACUCACUGGGUUUUACACUAAGUUUGGAACGCUUGAGGAUGUGGAGUGGUUGUUUGAGGAGAUGAAAGUGAGGGAUGUUAUAACUUGGACUCAGAUGGUGACCAUGUAUAUGGAGUUUGGGUUGGUGGAUUUGGCUCUGAAUGUGUUUGAUGAAAUGUCCGAGAAGAAUUCUGUGUCUUACAACGCUGUUUUGUCUGGGUUUUGUCAAAACGAGGAAGGCUUGGAGGCGCUGAAGUUGUUUGUCAAAAUGGUGGAGGAGGGUUUGGAGUUGACGGAUUUUAGUUUGACUAGCGGAGUAAAUGCUUGUGGAUUGAUUGGUGAUCCCGAGGUCAGCAAGCAGGUUCAUGGGUUUGCGGUGAAGUUUGGGUUUGGAUCAAAUGCUUGUAUAGAAGCGGCAUUGCUUGACAUGUACACGAGGUGUGGGAGGAUGGUGGAUGCGGAGAAGAUGUUUCUGAGAUGGAAGGUGGAGCAGUUUAGCUCUGUGUGCUGGACAGCCAUGAUAUGUGGCUAUGCUCGAAACGGGCAGCCAGAGGAGGCCAUUUCUCUUUUCCACGUUGGUCGAUUCAAUGAAAAGGUGAUUAUGGAUGAAGUUGUGGUGACUUCGAUGCUUGGUCUUUGUGGAACAGUUGGCCAUCAUGAUAUGGGUAAGCAAAUUCACGGUCAUGUUGUUAAAUGUGGUUUGGGAUCUAAUUUGGAAGUGGGAAAUGCACUUCUUAGCAUGUAUUUUAAGUGUGGGGACAUGGACGAUGCGAUGAAGGUGUUUCGUGAUAUGGCUUGUACAGAUGUAGUUACAUGGAACACUUUGAUCUCGGGAAAUCUUAUACACAGACAGGGGGGCAGAGCAUUGGAAGUAUGGGUGGAAAUGCAGGAGAAGAACAUAAAGCCUGACCAAGUUACAUUUGUAUUGAUAAUUUCAGCUUACAGGCAAACAAACUCAAAUUUCGUUGAUGAUUGUCGUAGUUUGUUUAACUCUAUGCGAACUGUUUAUCAAAUUGAGCCCACAUCCAUGCAUUAUGCUUCCUUCAUCAGUGUCUUGGGUCACUGGGGUUUUCUGCAAGAAGCACUAGAAACUAUCAAUAAAAUGCCUUUCCAGCCUUCAGCUCUUGUUUGGCGCGCAUUGCUUGAUGCUUCCAAACAGCAUCAGAAUGAUAUGAUUGGAAAAUGGGCUGCUCAGAAUAUUCUUUCCUUCAAACCUAAAGAUCCUUCAACGUUUAUACUUGUUUCAAAUCUGUAUUCUGCAUCUGGGAGAUGGGAUCGCUCUGACAUGGUCAGAGACGAGAUGAGGCAAAAAGGGAUUCGCAAACACCCAGCUCAAAGUUGGAUCAUUUCUGAGAAGAAAAUACAUACAUUUUAUCCGAGAGAUAGAUCACAUCCUCAGGAGAAAGACAUAUACAGUGGUUUGGAUAUUUUGAUCUUGGAGUGCCUAAAAGUUGGAUAUGAACCUGACACGAGCUUUGUUCUCCAUGAAGUAGAGGAGCAUCACAAGAAAUUCUUUCUAUUCCAUCACAGUGCUAAACUGGCAGCAACUUAUGGGAUACUGAUGAGCAAGCCUGGAAUGCCCGUUCGGAUUGUAAAGAACAUCCUUCUUUGUGGGGACUGCCAUACAUUCUUAAAAUAUGCAUCAAUUGUCACGAAAAGAGAUAUAUUUCUGAGAGAUUCUUCUGGAUUUCAUUGUUUCUCCGGUGGCCAGUGCUCGUGUAAAGACUGCUGGUGAAAGCUGGCUCUUGUCGCCGGUUAUCGUGAUUUAUAUCAGUGGUCUUUGCUGAAUAAUUUUGGUAGUUAUAGGAUAGCAAUGAUAGAUAAGAUUUGUAUGAGAAAUUUUUCUAUAGAUGUUACCAUGAAUUUGGUGGAACCAAUCAUCUAAGGAGAAAAGGGGUAAAACAGCAAGAGGAGGCGGAAGAAAGAUUCUUCUUUACAAAUGUUUCUGUAAAAAAAUUAGGGGUUAGAGCUCCACGGUCUCAUCUGAACAAAGAUGUAUUUUGUCAGUUUGUUGAUAACCUUUGAUGUCUAUGAUCUAACACAGUUAGGUAUUUACCAACACAGCUUGGUAUUUUGUCGGAGUUUGGAGUAUUGAAAUAUUUACUCCAACUACAUUAGUUUUUCUUGUUCGGAUGGACUUUUUAAUUCGUGUAUGAAAUAGCCUACCUUUUUUUCCUUCAAAGUUACACUAGACGCCAUGUAAUAGUUGAUUUGUAAUUAUUUUAAAUGUUUUGUGAGAUAAAUAUCUUUCAUUUCAACCAUCAACCUUUUCAUUCACCACCUUUCUUCUGUCCAAUUUAAUAGAUAAAAGCAAUUUUUAUAUAACUUGAAAUAAUAAUUUCACUAUCUCUAAAUAUAUGUUAAUUUUUUUACUUGAGCAUCGAAGAACCAAUCAAACUUAUUUCAACAAAAUUAGUUAUGUUAUAUUUAUUUUCAUCAUUAAUCCCAACAAAUAUCAAUGUUAGAUGGCCGCCCAGUUCUUUUCCUGUGUUGAGUUCACCAAGGUGGUUAUAUAAAAAGGGCAAAAGGGCUACUAGGGCAGAUUCUUCCUGCACCUCUAUAUUUUCUUUCCUCUAUUUCCAUAAUUAUUUUUUCAUUUUACUUUUUCUGGACUGUACAUUUUUUAACUUUUGGAUUAUUUAAUCCAAAAGAAAAAAUAACUAAUCUGAAAACCCGUUUUUUCUCUUAAAAAACCUUCCGGAUUAAACCAUAUAGAAGCAUCCGGAAGCCAAAUAACUUUCAGAAAUCUAGAAUCCAUUUUCUUAAAAAAGAAUAAUUUCGUAGUCUGAAAAAUCAUUUUUGGCUUUUGGAUAGUAUAAUUCAGAAGUCGUUUUUUAUUUUUUAAAAAACAAAAAUACUUUCGAUAUGUACAAAUGUAAAAAAAAAAAAUUAUAAUGAUAUUUAGACAACAUUUUUUUGACAACAUUUAAACAUUGAUUACGUGUCAAUCUGUGAUUGGUCAAAAAUUACUUCACAAUCAACAAUAAUAAUCAUAAACAUUAUUGUGGUGUAAUUUUUAACCAAUCACAUAUUGACACGUAAUCAAUGUUUAAAUGUUGUAAAAAAAAUGUUAUCUAAAUAUCAUUAUCCAAAAAAAAUAUGGAGAUAUAUAAAGAAAGUUACAAAGGUAGGGGAAGAAAGUGCCAUAAAAAGGAAGUUAAUGAGGAUGCUAAUCGAGCCGAUACUGAUGCAUAAGGUGAGAAAAAUCAUCCUGAUUUGGUUUUGGGUUUGAUGUAAGUGAAAGAGAGUUGGGCUAAUCUUUCUUGUACCUCCAUUUUUUCUUAUUGCACCGCAUAGGUGUGAUGGAAUCACCUUUUUAUCCCAUUUCUUUCUCUCACUUCCUUUUCCUUCUUUCAUGUACCCAGCUACACACCUUCCUUCUCUUUCUUCCCACUGAUGGCGCAACCCCCUUUCACCUCCAACACCUAUUUAGAGAUUAAUGCAAAAGUCAAUAAAAAGCUCAAAGAAAUGGAUUUAAGAAUAACUUAGAAGAGUCAGCAAACUACUUUUAUAUUUAACUAAUUUUAACAAAUCAAGUGACAUGUCCUAUUAGAAAGUUAUCACAUUUUGUUAUGCAGUAUGGUAGAAGUCUCUUCUAGUAAGAACAGAAUAAUAAUAUGAAUUGUAAUUUUGUUAUAUAUUCCUUUGAGUUGAGAGUGAAUGGGAAGGAGGAAAUUAGUCUUUCUUUUUGUCCCUUUCUUUUAAAGAGAACCAUUGACCUUAGAUCAAGGAAAUUUUUGUCUAUCAUUUGAUGUUUUCAUUGAGAAAUUUUUCACGCCAUAACAAAGCAUAAUACACGAUUCAAGACUACAUCAGACCGAAUAGAAGAGUCUAUCCAACAUUUAACACAUUAGCAAAUGGUGUUAAGUGUUAAUCAUGAGAGUCUCAAUAUAAAGGUGGAUACAAUAUUGCAACAACUUGCUAUGCUAUGGGCCAAAUCAGAAUUGUCAUCAAAAGCAAAGGACAUAGUGUUUUUUAAAACCCAUGUAAAGUUAGAAAUUCCUUACUUUAAUGUGGAAGAUGCCAUGGGGGUGGAUAUUCAAGAUUUCUUAGUUUUUUAAUUACCAUGUUACUUCUGAGGCUCAUCAUAUCAAGGUAGCAUCACUCUACAUGGAGAACAUGCUCUCAACUCACAUCAAUGGAUGCAUUGUUCGUAAUGGUAUGGUCUGGUCUGGUGUAACUUUUGGAAAUUCGAUUUUCUCCAUCAUACUAUGAUGAUCCCCAGAGUGUCCUCUUUAAGUUGACUCAGAAGCAUACCAUUUCAUAAUAUCUUAAUGAAUUGAAAGAUUAGGAAAUAGAAUCGUCGGUCUUCCUACAACCUUUUUAUUGAGUUUUUUUUUUUUAGAUUGAGUCUAGAAAUCUGACAUUAGAUGCAAACGUUGCAACCUCAUUCAAUGAUACAAGCAACAACCCUAGUCAGAUUAUAGAAAGACAAUAACGUCAAUUUGAGAACAAAUUAUGAUAAGCUCACUUAAAAAGAUAUGGUAGUUCAUUGAGAAAAAGGUCUCAACUAUAAUUGCAAUGAAAAAUUUAGUCUAAGCAACAAGUGUAAAGGAAGCUUAUUUCUAUUAGUAGUUGAGACAGGGGAUGACGUGAGCAGAGUAAUUAUUGAUCAAUCAUGUUUGAUUCAAAAAUAAUUAAAUGAUAAUUCUUCAAAGGCCCAUGUCAGUUUUAAUGCCCUUGUUGGACUGUUAACUCCCAAAGAUUUAUGUUUAAUGUGUCAUAUAUCUAAAAGUUAUGACUGUUUUGGUGUAUGGUGAUAGUACACACAAUUUUAUUUAGCACCGUGUAGUUAAGCAUAUUCAAUUGUCUAUCUAACCCACAAAAACCGUGAGGGUGAAGGUAAGAGAUGAAAUGGAAAUUGAUUGUCGUUAGGUUUGUCAAAGCGUGAAAGUGGGUAUUCAAAAUCACGAGUUUGAAGUGGAUCUUCAUGUCUUACUUAUUAGUGAGACUCAUAUUAUUUUGGGUAUCUAUUGGUUGAAAGAAUUGGACCCAAUAAUCAAAUUAUGCUAAAUUGACCUUGAAGUUUAUACAGAAUGAAAAUAUGGUUGAAUUUAAGACCAACGCACCGAUCAGGCCACAAGAUAUUUUAUCACACCAACUAAAUAUACUUAUGCAUACCAAGAAACAUAUUUUCCAAGUAAUGUAUUUCCCAAAAGAUACAACGUGGAAGAAGUGGAAAGAUUUAUGCCAAGAUUAUCAUCUUAAGGACAAGGUGAAUUUUCCAUAGGUGGAUAUUGAUGAAAAGAUAGAGUCCAUUAAUAUGCAAUCUAGCACAUAUAUUCAUAGGCUCAAGCAUAAGUCAACAAGAGCCUAAAGAAAGGGAUUUAAAGGCCUAGAAUAGUCAACAAACUACCUUUAUAUUUAGUUUAUUUUACCAUUUAAAUAAAUCAAGUGACAUGUCCCAGUCUUAGAGAGUUAUCAAAGUUUGAUAUGCAUUAUGCUAUAAGUAUGUUUGAGUAAGAACAUCUUGAUGCAUGGAGUGGAUAUUCAAGAUUUUAUAGUUUUUCAAUUCAUAUUACUUUGAGGCUGAUCGUAUCAAGGUAACAUCAUUCUACAUGGAGGGACUUGCUCUUAGUUGACAUCAAUGGAUGCAUUGCAAUGGCAUGAUUAUUACAUGGCAUGGUCUGCUGCAAGCAUUGGAAACUCAUUUUUCUCCAUCAUACUAUGAUGAUUCCCAAGGUGUCCUCUUUAAAUUGACUCAAAAAGGUACUAUUUCAAAAUAUCUUAAUGAGUUUGAAAAAUUAACAAAUGAGUCUUCCUACAACUUUCUUGUUGAGUUGUUUUAUUUUUGUAUUGAGUCCGAAAAUUCAAUGUGAGGUGCAGACAUUGCAACCUCAUUCACUGAUAUAAGCAACAACCCUAUCCAGUUUAUAGGAAGACAAGUUGAUAGGACAAAAAUGUCAAUCUAAAAACAAAUUGCAAUAAGCUCACUCAAAAAUAGAUGCUAAGUCGUCAAGAAAAAAGUCAAUGCACCAACCAUUCUACAAGAUGUUUCAGCACACCAACUAAAUAUACUUAUGCAUACCAAGACAACUGCACCUUUCCAAGUAAUUUAUUUUCCAAAAAAUACAACUUGAGAGAAGUGGAUCGAUUGAGAUUUAUGCCAACAUUAUCACCUUGAGGACAAGGUGAAUUUUCCACAAGUAAGUAUUGAUAGAAAGGUAAAAUCCAUUACUCUUUAGUCCAAGACAUAUAUUUAUAGGCUCACAUAGAAGUCAACAAGAGUUCAAAGAAAAAGAUUGAAAGACUUAGAAGAAUCAAAAAAUUACCUUUAUAUUUAGUUUAUUUUACCAUUUAGAUAAAUCAAGUGAUCUCUCAAUCUUAAAGAGUUGUCAAAAAUUGUUAUGCAUUAUGUAAGUACUUUGAGUAAGAAUAGAAUAAUAAUUAUGAAUUGUAAUUUUUUUAUAUAUAUUUUUUUGGAUUGAAAGUGAAUGGAAAGGAAUAAAUUAGUUUCUUUCUUUGUCUCUUUUUUUCUAACGAAGAUCUUUGAUUUCUAAGAAAACUUUUAUGUAUCGAUUUUUCAAGUGUUUUUACUUUUGCAUGUAUGAUCUCUGCAUAAUAUCAUUAUAUGUUAAGACAUGUCGUUUGCUACGUCAACAAAUUUUUAUGGUUGAUUAUUGUUGUUUGAUUCACAGUAACUAUCUCUAUUCAUUAAUAAAUUUUGAAGAUAAAAUUUAAAAUUUGAAACAAUGAGAAAAUCUAAUUUCAUAAAAAUCAAAAAACUAAAAAACAUAUUUAAUAUAAUUUAAAAUCUUAUUUAAUUUAAUAAAAAUUGAGAAACUAAAAAUAUAUUUAAUUUUAAAACUUAAACGAAAUAUAUGUUUUCUAAACUAUCGAUUACAAACUAAUAAUGAACAUGAUAAAAUCAUUACAAAAUUUAAAUUCUAAUUUAAUAAAAUAAAAGAGAAUUGAUAUAUAUAUAUAUAUAUAUAUAUAUAUAUAUAUAUAUAUAUAUAUAUAUAUAUAUAUAUAUUAAUGAAUAUGUUUCUACCCGUUAAUCUUAUAGUAUUAGUUAUAUUAAUUUAAGUUCAUAAAUAUUUAAAUGUAUUCAAAACAUAUUAAUUGUAUUUAUAUUUAUAUAUAAACGACAUUUUUCUUUUUUUUUAUAUUCACAUUUAUAUUUUAAUUUUAUCCUUCAAAUAAUUUCUUUUAACUAAAAUAAUUAUUUUAUCAAUAUUAUUUUUUAUUUGUAAAUUUUUUUUUUCAAUUUAUAUUUUUAUAUUCCACGUGUAAGAAUAUAUAUAGAAUACUGUCAAAAUUACUUAAUAUUAAUUAGAAAAUAUAUAUUUUUUAUUUUAUUUUUAAAGAAUUAAAUAUAUUUUUAACCUUUUAAUUUUUUCGAAAUUUGAUUUAUCUCAAACUUUAAAUUAUUUUUAUCUAAAACUUUAUUAAUAAAGGGACAUAAUUCUUGUAAUCAAAUCAUAUUAAAAAUUUGUUGAUGUAAUAAAUAGUAUUAUUGCGUGUAAUCAUGUAUUGAUAUAUAAAUAUAUACACGGUUUGGUAUAUUAACAAAAAUUUUAACACUGUUUGAUCAAAGAUUAAAUGUAUACAUUAAAAAAGCUUGAGGAGAAUGAAGAAAAUGAUUGAAAGUUUAACAGAAAUCCUAUUUUCCAUAAAAGUUAAACAACAAUUGAACAUCAUCACUUCGUUAAAAAGCAUCCUGCAAUCAACUAUAAUGAUUUUUUCAAAAGUAAAUACAAAUUUUAUCAUGCAACUAAAUCGAGUUUAUUAAUUAAAUCUGAAACUCACGACCCUGUUAUAUAACUCAGUAAGAGAAACAACUAACAAAACCUAUUUCUCAGUAAAAAAAAUAAUGAUAUUUUGACAACAUUUUUUGAUAAUUUUUUUAACAAUAAAAUAUGUGUUAUCAUUUUAUUAAUUAAUUUAAAUUUAUAUUUAAAAGAAUAUUUAAAACAGAUCAAUCACAAUCUAUUACGUUUAUAAAAAAAAAUUGUUAAAAAAAGUAUCGUUAAAAUUAGAUUGGAUUUCCAAACCAUAACGUACUAAAUUAAAAGUUGUCACGAAUGGUUACGUUUAACCUGUGAAUUCAACACGAGAAAUGGGCCUACUUAUUUCCAUGUUUCACCCUCUCCCACCUCUCCUUAUCCUCUUCACAAUAAACACUGUCGCAUGUUCAGUGUUCACCGUAUCACACCCAUUAAACAACAAUCUUAGCCAAACAAUGUUCCUUAACAUUAACAAUAACUAUGUCACAAAUAUUAGCUUAUCUGCUUCUUGUUUCCUGUUGCUGUUCGAUUUCGGGAACAAAAAAAAAAUUGUUGGUUUCAGAUCUACUUCUAUUUUGUAUAUUUUAUAAUAUAAUACAAGGGUAAACUUUUUGUUGUUUCAAGAGAUUUCGGUGCCGUUGCGUCAAGCAGUUUAAUAUAAAUUAACGGAGUGAAUAACACGCUGCUUUAGGCCUUUAUCGAGGCUUCAUUCGCCGUCACUCUCCCAAUUUCGUUUUAAAUACAAAAAAUGCAAAAUAUAGAAAAAUAAAUAACAAUUUAGCUCAAAUAUAUUUUUAUCUUAAAAAAAUAAAUUAUGCCUUUUUUCAGAAAGCUUGUGGUGCUUUUUGGUUUCUAGAAAGUUAUAGGCUACAUUUCUUUAUGUAGAUUGUUAUAAUUGGACACAUUUUACCACCUAUAAAAAAAAUCACAUCUCAAAAGGGAAACUUGAAAUCAUAUUUAAAAUAAUUUCAAAAAAAUCAACAGUCUAACGAGUACAACAAAAAAUCUUCCCCGUGUUAUAUAUUUGAACGAAAGCAUACAAAAAUAACGAGAAAUUAUAAAUUAAAAAACUCGAACGAUUACAAUGAUUUAGUUUAGUUGUAUAAUAAAUAUAGAGUAUUAUCUAUUAAAAUAAAUUCAAGGAAGUGUAUAAAAAGAACUAUAUAUGUAGAAAAUUUAUUAAAAGGUUUGGGUUGGGAUUGGUACUUUUAGUAGAAGUUCUUUAUCAGCACUCAAAUUACAUGAUUUGGAAAACGACGUCGCCUCAGUGCGGUCAAUUAGAAUAGUGUUUGUGAAUUAAUGUUUUAUUAUGGUAUGAUGUAAAAAAUAAACGUAUGUUUACAUUUAGCAAUGUAUUAAAAACUUUUUCUUAAAAGGUGAUUACUUCAUGUUUGUGUUAUCUUUUGAACUUUUAAGAGAGACUGUAAUUUGCACAAUACCAAAUUAAGAAAAAUUCCAAACCAUAUUUAUCCAUAAGCUACUGUGUGUGAUUGUGCUUCGGUUGGACUGUUUAGAAAAAAAAAAAAACAUUACUUUUUUGGGACAUUAUUUUUCCCUUUUUAUCACAAGAUCAGCUUUAUGAUGAAUAUUUCAACCAUGGAUUAAUCUGCUUAAAAAGCAGAAUGUUGCGUAAAACUGUGAAAUUAUGGAAAAACUGUAAACAUUAAAAUUAUAAAAAAAAAUGGAAAAUUAGAAAAUUGGAAAAAGUGUGUCAUCAUGGCUUGACCUCUAAUUCCCGUCGAUGAAAUAAAUGGGAGGUGGCAUGCAUAAGAAUUAUGACUUACGAACUUCUACUAAAUUACCGUUUUGCACCUAUUCAAUUUGUUUUUAUUUUUUAGCCAAUGCUUUUCUACUCUCAGUUAUUACUAUCAUAUUUGACUUUUAUUCUUGCCAUUAAUAAAAGUAAUAUAAUUUAAAUGCGAAAUUUUUUUCAAUAGAAACAAAUCCUCGAUUUUCCUAAAGAUAUGACAUAUUUUUAACAAGCCAACACGUGCAUGAGUCGUGAAAUUCAAAUUAAAUUAUUAAUAAACUAACAAGAAUAGUCUUAAUAAAUGUGUAAAAGCGUGAUCACUAUGGUUGAUAUAAUUAAACUAAAGAAGGUUGUUUUUAUGGAGUUUAUUAAACUAAAAACAACGUGUUAAUACUUUAUUUUUUUCCAUUGGCAUAUUAUUUUUGACAUAUAUUGAUUAAUUAUAAACAACUUUUAUAACUAGUCAAAUAUACUUUAAACACGCCAGUAUUACUUGUUUUUUUAGUGUGCUACAUUGUUUACUAAUCAUAGAUUAUGUGUUGUAUAAUAUUUGAUUAAAUUAUAAUUUUGAUAUUGUCACUUUUAUACAUAAUUUUAGCUUGUGUUUUUUUUUUUUUUUUAGAUUCUUUAAGUAAAGCGAGUUUACACUUUAAUUUUUAAUAUUUUUAUUAAGAUAUAAAACUUAAAAUGAGGAAAAAAAAGAUUAAAUAAUAAUAUAUUGUAUAUAUGAGGUCCGUAGGUUAUAGUUUAUUCUCAUGUAUUUCUGAUCCAAAACGACACGUUUGAAGCGAAUCGAAGUAACAGAAGGACACGUGUCUGGGUUGGGAGAAAGGGAAGAAAAUAAAGAGAUUAUUAAUAAGUGGGUCGGUGAGUUGUUGGUAAGAAGCAUAAGAGAGGGGUAAAAGAGGAAAUGCAAAAAGUUGCAUGCAAAAACUCAGAUUUUGAGGACAAAGUGUGAGGACGCUUGGCCUGAUAUCGCACCCAUUUAUUACCAACACUUCAACGUCAGAUUCCUCACCCUCUGCCACCAAAACCAAAACUCUCUUCUAUUCUCUCAUCUUUCUCUUUCUUUCUCUCUUUCUUUCUCUCUUCACAAACAAAACACAACUAUGUCUUCUGCAUAGACAACAGAAACCACCUGCUUUCUAAAUUCUGUAGCAAAAGGUUAAGAAACAGCUUCAAUGGGUACUUCUGUUACAUGGGGCUCAGGGCCAUCUUCAUCCACCAAGCUCUUUCUGUUCAUGCUUCCUCUCGUGCUUGUUGCAGGGCUGGUUUCUGUUUUGGGUCCUAGCCCCUCUAGUUGGUUUUCCACUGCCAAGCCACCGCUGUUAUUAUUCAGCUCUGUUACUUCCUCAGCUGCUAGUAGUGGUGCUGUCACCACCCCUUCUGAGGUGAAGCAGAGAGAAGAGUUGCUGGUGGUGGCCGUGGAUAAUCGUGCUGGAGAGAAUCUUAUCUCCGAUGACACUCACUUCAAUCUCUCCUCUACUCCUCCAUUUUCUGUUCAGGCCAUACAACAACAUGUGAGACCUUUUUCUUCUUUUCUUAUCAUAAUUCCACCCUUAAGUUUGCCAUUUUUCUUUAUUUAUAUGAAUCACAUUACAACAGGGGUAGGAUGGGACAUAAUUUCGAUACGACUCUACUUUAUUCCUACAGAAUUUCACUGUGAUAAUCCAAAUAAUAAGGGCAGCCACCCUGCUACGAGAAUCAGACCAACAAUACCUAUUUUUAAGAAUAAAACUAUGCAAUAAAUGUUUGAAUAAAAAGAUUAUACCAAUUUAUUACUGUAAAAAGAUUAUACCAAUUUCUACCUCAAGUAAUUAGUAAUUUAUCUGAGUAUUUAAGUUUUCUUUCCCGAUUUUGUUUGGUAGAAAAAUAGGUAGCAGUGUGGGUUAUGGAAGCUAUUCUAAGAUGAAAAUUUCGUUAAAAAUGUCAGAUGAUUGUUAUAUUUAAGAAGGAAAGAAUGUACAGACAGAAAGAAAAGAAUGCAACUAAAGCCAUUGAGAAUGUUACAGACCAGAUACCUUAACUUUUUCUUUAAUUUUGCAGAAAAGAUAUAGGAGUUUGAAUAAAUCUGUGGUGGGAUAAUACCCAAACGAAGGGAGAGAGAUUUUAUCUUAUUAUUAUUCAAUUUAUUCUUUUUAAAGUAAAGUUUACAGAAUAAGGAGAUGCACUACCUCAGUCUAAGUUAUAGCAGAGGAAAGGAAAACAUCGAUCUCACAUAGCACUUGGUCGAUGUUUAAAAUUUUCCAGAUUGAAUUAGUAGAAUGAAGAUAAAUUUGGAACAUGAGGAAUUAAAAAUUGAUAUUUAACUGAACCUUACUCUUUCGUCUACGCACUGCUACUAUAUUAUAAUAAUAUAUUUGCUUUAUUUUCAUCUUUUCGAGACAACUUCUCUCUGUGAAAUGAAGGAAUUGAAAUAAUGCAAAUUGAUAUAUCAACUUGGAUGUUACUCUGUACUUGUUGCCUUAGUGUUGCGAUCAAGGGAGUUAUUUUGCGUAUUUGAGGAUUUUAAGACCUAUAAUAUAUGAAUAUCAUGUCCCCUUGUUGAAUAUUGUAACUUCGUAAAUACGCAAAGAAAUGCGAAUCCCCAUCCCUUGGGUUUUCACUUUUCAGAUACUUUAGUUGGUUUUCAGUGUGCAAUUUGUUUCUACAAGUUACCAAAAUAAAUUGGAGUGACAAAUAUUUGGCUGCGUUUAUCUUCUAAAUUAUUUUUUGGAUAAUUUCCAUUUUAGAUGGGAAUUAGUUCAAUUUCGUAUACAUGGAUUCAUCUCCUACACUGCACAUGUAGCAAUGAUUUCGAAAAGGUUUGAAUUUAAGAAACUAGUUGUCAAGUUCCGUUUUAAGACAGGAAAUAGACAAAGCGACUUGUUAGGCAGAGCAUUGUAGCAUGGUUGAAAUUAAAAGGCUAUCCAUUUAUGAGUUUUAAAUAAAGGUGACGACGACCCAUCAUUUUAUUUACCAGAGCAGGGAUGAACAAAACGUUCCCCAAAAUUUGGGUAACGUGAGUUCGGUGAACGAGUCUUAUGUUCCAGCAGAAAGGCCAAAACUGCAAAGAAAAUUCAGCAUCUUAGACAGAAAUGAAGCAGGUCUAAUAAAAGCUCGAGCCGCAAUUAGAGAAGCAAGAAACGGAAAUCAAACGCAAGAUACAGACUACGUUCCUAUUGGACCAAUGUACAUGAAUGCCAAUGCAUUUCACAGGUAAAAGAAGCAAAUAACAUUAGACUUUGUUGGCUUAACAGAAGUAAGUAAGUAAUUCGAUUUGUGCAUGUUACAGGAGUUACUUGGAAAUGGAGAAACAGCUGAAAGUGUAUGUGUACGAAGAAGGGGAGGCUCCAGUUUUUCAUAACGGACCUUGCAAGAGCAUAUACUCGAUGGAGGGGAAUUUCAUCCAUGCUAUUGAGAUGAACGAGAAAUUCCGAACAAGAGAUCCUGAGAAAGCACAUGUUUUUUUCUUACCUUUUAGUGUAGCAAUGUUGGUCCAAUUCGUGUAUGUACGAGACUCUCAUGACUUUGGCCCCAUAAAAAAAACUGUCACGGAUUACAUCGACGUCAUCGCAGGAAGAUACCCCUAUUGGAACAGAAGCCUUGGAGCUGAUCAUUUCUAUCUUGCUUGCCACGAUUGGGUAAUUAAACCAUCACUGCAUUGUGCUUUUUUUUUUUUUAUAUAUAUAUAUAUAUUUUAAUGAUUAUCAGAAAAUAAUCUUGAUUGUUGUAAAUUGUUUUUCAGGGGCCAGAGACUUCGCGCUCGGUUCCUAAUUUGAAAGAUAAUUCGAUACGCGUGUUGUGCAAUGCUAACACUUCCGAGGGAUUCAAGCCUUCGAAGGAUGUCUCUUUGCCGGAAAUUAACCUCCAAAGUGGUUCCAUAAACGGUUUGAUCGGUGGGCCGUCUGCUUCGAAGCGUCCACUCUUGGCCUUCUUUGCCGGUGGACUUCACGGCCCAAUUAGGCCGGUUCUUCUUGAACAGUGGGAAAACAAGGACGAGGACAUAAAGGUUCAGAAGUACCUUCCGAAGGGUGUGUCGUACUAUGAGAUGCUGAGGAAGAGCAGGUUCUGUCUUUGUCCCAGUGGGUACGAGGUGGCGAGUCCGAGAGUGGUGGAGGCAAUCUACACAGGGUGUGUCCCAGUUCUGAUUUCGGAUCACUAUGUCCCUCCGUUCAGUGAUGUUUUGAAUUGGAAGUCGUUUUCCGUUGAAGUUACGGUUGAGGAGAUUCCGAAAUUGAAGGAAAUUUUGUUGAGUAUUUCUCCAAGACAGUAUAUAAGAAUGCAGAGGAGAGUGGUACAAGUUAGGAGGCAUUUUGAGGUGCACUCUCCUCCCAAGAGAUUCGAUGUCUUUCACAUGAUUCUUCAUUCUGUAUGGCUUAGAAGAUUGAACUUCAGAGUCCACGAUCAUCAAUCACAACUGUCUUAGUUUCCCAUUGUUAUCCCAUGUAAUAAGCUGUCAUUUUUUUCCAUUAUCAGAAGCAAAAAUAAUAUUUCAUUUUUCCCAUAUUCCAUGUAAAAAAAAACAGUUUUCAGAGUAAGAAAAUAUGUGAACAGAGUCAACAUCUGUUGUUUAAGAGACUAGAUACUUUUAUCCAUCUUACCCCAUUAGCCCUUAUUCUGGAGUCAAGGAUAUCGAUUUAUGAUAUAUCUGUACAUGGUUCGAGUGCAAUUCGGUAUGUGAAACAGAGAAAUUUUGGGUCAGACCAAUGAUUGGAAUGCACGAUCUGAAAUCUGGAAAUGAAAAUCAACAAACUCAACGACGAAGGAAACGAUGGGCAACGACACAGAAAGGAAGAAAAUAAUAUGGAACAACACACAAAUUACGCUUUCAAGUUAAAACAUUUUUUUUUUAACAAUUUCAAUCAUAAAAAAGCCAUAGAAUCUAAGUAUGAAUUUUAUUAUUCAUCUUUAUAAGAAUUUUUUUAUUAUUAAUGAAAGUUUAUUGAUAGAAAUAAAUUUGUUGGUAACGUAAAAUUUGAAUAAAUGAUGAAAACAUGUAUCAAUAAAUUCCGUAUGUAAGAUAGAAAAGACGAAAACUAAAAAAUUAAUAAUACAUACAAAUACAUAUAACUAAAACUUAAAAUUAAUUUUUAUUCGAAAAUAUUUGAAUCAUUAAAAUUUGAUUUCGUUAAAUAUUAAUUUAUACAAUAACAUAGUUAUAACUGUUUGCACACAUUAUAGUUUAAAUUAUAUUAUUUAUUAAGAUAUUAAAAUUAAAUAAGAAUUAUUUAAAUAUAUUUAAAAUAAUAAUUAUGAUUUUAAGAUCUUAUAUAAGUUUUCUAUAAUAUAAAAGAUAGUAAUGUAAAUAAAAUAAAAAUUUGUAUAAUUUAUUUAAAUAACAUUCAAUAAUAAUAUAACAAACUGUUAUUUAAAUAAUGUCAUAUUUUAUUACUAUUUAGUUUGUUAUUGUAUUACAUCCAAUAUAAGAUCGGAUAAACAACUUAAGUCUAUAUAAAGUUUAGCAUAACUAAAUUACAGUAUUUAAUGAAACCUGCUUAUGUGGCUUGAGGUGUUCUACUAUAACCGCUCAAUAAUAAUAAAUAAGUUGUGAAAUAUAAUCCAUCUAAAUUCCUCAACUUUGAGAUUUAACUUUACAAAAGAUGGUGGAGAAAAAUUUCAGGAAUGUCAGCAAAUUAGAAGAAUUAGUUUAAAAGAAUAAAUAUUCAACCAGGACAAAAAUUCCUAAAAUGAAACAUCAUUGUAACUGUUAAUUUAUACAUUUAAUGUUACACUUCACCUUAACAAGCUUAGUUAAUUAUUAUUGUUAAAAUUUAACAUAAUCAUUUAUUUUAUAAGUAAAUUUUAUUAUACAAAAAAUAAUUAAUUAAAAGCAAAUAGGCACAAAGAGUGGGAAAUGGCGUGGUCUCGAGAGAGUCCUACAUGAGUCAAAGAAGACUAGCUCAGCGGACGCCACGUUGCUGAACACGUGUCAAUCUUUGAUAGAUAUGAAGGUAGGAGAUGGUUCGAAAGAUAUAUAUACAUGUCAUUAGCGAGUAGCAUCAUAGGCUACGUGUCACACUUCCAUGUCUCCUUUCUCUCCACGCGUCGCUCUCCUCCUCAACGUUUUGCUCUUCGAAACCUUAUAUAUAUCUUCAAGCAUGCUUGUUCAUUCAUCAACCUUCAAGUUCAUUCAAAAACAACUCACAACCAGCUCUAACACUCGAGACAACAUCGUACAAUCAACCCAUAAGAUCGAUGGCGUCGGGACAGCAAUUCAAGGGAGACAGAGCGGAGGCAGCGGCCAAACUUGCAGCCAAAGACAUCGGCGAUAUCAACAGAGCGAACGAGCGCAACGACAACUACGACCUUCAUUCCGAGGCCAACUUUAAGCAAGCACGAGCAGAAGCAGCUGCGAAGCUCGCCGCAAAGGAUCUGGAGGAUGUUAACAGAAUGAGGGACAACAAUGCCACCACAUUCAAAGAGCAGCAGCACUACGGCGAGAACAGACCCGGUGUGAUAGGGUCCAUGUUCAGAGCCGCUAAGGAAGCGGUGGUUGGGAAGCCUCGAGAUGCGGUUGAGACCUCGCCAGGGGUUUAUGAUUCCAACAGAGAGAGGAUAACGAAGGAGCAAGGUGGGUCGAAGAUGGGGGAAUAUGCAGAUUAUGCGACCCAGAAGGCGAAGGAAACGAAGGAUGCAACGGUGCAGAAGGCUGGGGAGUACACGGACUUUGCGACUCAGAAAGCAAAAGAAAGCAAGGACUAUGCGGUGGAUAAGGCAAAGGAAGCUAAAGAUGCUACGGUGCAGAAAGCUUCAGAGUACAAGGAUUAUACUGCUGAGAAGGCUAAGGAAGGGAAGGACAGUGCAACGGGGAAGCUUGGGGAGUUGAAGGACUCUGCUGCUGAUGCUGCUAAAAGAGCUAUGGGAUACUUCACAGGCACCAGAGACGAAACAAAGGUUAACUUCAACUUGCAAGACUUUUUCUGUUGAGUUAUUGAUUUGGUUCCUAUUUAUUUAUUGUUUCUUCCUUUUCCUUGAACAGGUAGGUGGAACGGCGGAGGAUACCAGGCGAAGAACCCAAGAGGUGAGGGUGCAGGAUAAGGACUAUGGAACGGGGCAUGGAGGAGAGAAGGUGGUUAUAAAAAUGGAAGAGUCUCGCCCGGGAGCGGUGGCGGAUGCUAUGAAAGCGGCGGAGAGGGCCUUGGGCGGCGAGAUGGAGGAAGAAGGUAUCCUUCGUGUGGAGCGUCGUAGGGAGAAAAUGUGAACACGUGUGUGUGUGUGUUAUGGAUGAAGUAUAAUAGUAUUAGCAAUAAUAAUGUGCUUUGUAAUAAAAGAUAUUUGUAGUUGUUGUGGUGAAGCAUCCCUCUAGCUUUCAUUCCUAUAGUACAUAUACAUACAUUUAAAUAAAAAGUUUGGAUCACUUUUCAUUUUAAUAAUGUGUGUGUUGUAACUAUAUAUACAUCCUUGAAAAUUAAAAACUUAUUUAAUAACUUCUAC
rnacentral:lncRNA from 1 species